rnacentral:lncRNA from 1 species
CCCCUUCGCCGGGUUGAACGUGUGAAUAUCGUUGCUGGUGUCGGCGAAGAUGGCCUCCAGGUUGUUGGCCAGGCUGUCCACUGUCAAGCAACCAGGCAACGAUGGGAGUAGAGUGGAAUGGGGUUGGAAGGAUACUUGGCGAAGUGGUAGAGAGGGGUGGGGUGGGUACGAGCACCAGCCCAAGCCAUACCCACACCAAGCAAAUCGUGCCAGCGGUUUGCAGGGCGCGGUAACUGAUGCAGGGCAAGGGGCACAUCGCCGUGGAACACAGGAUGAACUGCACUGUAAAUUGCAUUCGCUGACCAAGCUCGGUUGCCCGCAUAUCAGCACGUUCACGCGCUGGUAACCCGUAUAACCAACCGCAUUACCUGGCGAUCAGACAAGCGACCCCCACGGCAAGCAGGAAGCGCCAGGCCGGCCGACAGCAGCAUGCGGCAAGAGGCAAAGGAGCAAGAGUCAAAAUGGCUAGUUCAGGGGGCAAGGCACGCCAGUGGAAGGAACAGACAAGCGGGACGUAGGCAUAACGCCAGCACUAUGGGCAAGGGGCGGAGUGCAUCAGAGGGUGGUCAGCGGGGCAGCAACAUUACGGUAACUGGAGUUGGGCGGUGUGAGUAACUGUGUUGCAAGGGCUUAUGAGUUCAGGUGGAUAGCUGUCAUGCUCGAAGAUAGCGGCGCAAUGCACACGACCUCUGCCAGCACACGUCAUGUCACGCACCCUGCUUCUCCUCGUGCAUGCCGGCGGGCGCCCAGCUGGGCACGUCCCGCAGCAGGCACGCCACCAGCUUCGGGCGCUCCUUCAGCCCGUCCUUGAAGACGUCCACGCGCUUCUUGUUCUGGCCGCCGAUCUGCUCCAUCCUCCACAUCUUGACCACGUGCUCUGCGGCAGCAGCCCCGGCGGCAAAGCACAUCGUCGGACUGGACCGACAUAAGCACACACGCAUGCACAAUUGCACAUACACACAACUUUCCCCGAAUGAUGCCCCUGUGGGCCCUGCCUUGGGUGACCCACCCAGGAAGGAGUGGGCGUUGACCACGCCCGCAGCCCAAAGCGUGGCCACAAGCAGUUGCUGGGUCCUGGCCAGUUUCGCAGUCUUGUCCAUGUUGUCCUUGGCCAGGGCCGUCACCUUGGCCUCCUUCUCCUUGGCCAGGGCCGCCACCUCCUUGGCCAGGGCCGCCACCUGUGGGGAGUGACCCGCAAUUAGUCAUACAAGGGAUGUACAGCGCGCACGCACAAGGUCAUGCAGAGGUCAUGAGAAAAAAAGCAGGGGUGCCAGGGACGAGAGGCAACCCCCCUUCCGUGAACUGUCAUUUGGUACCGACAGAGGUCCCGUCGUCGUGGAACUGACACCUGCCGCACAUCACCCCUGGAACUGACCCCAGUCCAUCCGUCGACGCGUGCUUGACCCGUAGAUCUAGACGUGAGGCUCGCAAAUUACCUGCGCCUGUAGCCUCACGAUUGCCUCAUACAACAUCGGGCGAAGCUUGGCCGGAGCCUUGCCAACAAGCGUGACGAUAUCGUCGAUGCUUGGGUCGGCAGCAGCAAACACCAACACUGAGCGAGCCGGCCGGCCGAUCCCUACAUAAGCAGCGUAGAGCGCUCUCAGAAUCUCGCAAGCACAACCAAGGGAAGCAGCAAAGCGCACAAUCUGGCUCGUGCGGUCCAGUCCUAGGACUUACAUUACGAUGUGUAUUUAUCGGGCGUGGCCACAUAAGCUAAAAGCUGCUGAGCCUUGCGCUUAAGGGAAAGAUCCUACAAUGUAUAUAUUGCUCCUUCGUGCCGCCUCGUUCUAAGCGCAUGGUAAUCAACUCACUGGGCGCAGCAGCAGACGGAUGCCUCCUGGCCUUGGCAGGGGUCACCACAGCGCAAGCAGCGCGCGCAUCGACAGGCCGCUGCAGGGCCGCAUUGGCGCGGCUGGCGCUAAAGCACAGCAUAUUCAGUAGGUCUGGUGCCUUGUGAAAAGAUGACAGAGGUAGAAGAUGACUACAGGUGAGGUCGGUUCUGAAGAACAAAUUGCGAUUGAAAGGCUGCGGAAAACGAUAGAGGAUGAUGGGCACGCCGCUGUUUUAACUCGGAAUAUGAGGCUGGCUUUGAAGCUGACUGGCAAUUCAGGUGCGGGAGGUUGACGUCAAUUUGUCAUGGGGCGUCACGCAUGAUGGCAUACCCGCAUCAUCCCGACCCCGCCUUCAUCCUGGGCCACACAAUGCCGCUAUUAAAAGGGGCACGGCAUCAGGAGGCCUCGUGGCGUGUCUCUGCCGAUGCGUGUUGGGCGUUCCCCCUGCGUGCCCGUGAACGUGCCGACGGCGUCGUCCUUGUAUGCCAAGCAUGUCGUGCGGACACGAUGUUGGGGGAUCGGCGGCAUUACUACUGGGACUGUGUCGUGGCUUGUGGCCUGCGUGAGUCCAUGGGCAUGGCGAUGGGGGCACAUCCGGAGGACUCGCUGGGCGUGUGUGCGCGCUCUUACUUGUGGCUGGUGCCAGCUGGUGCGGGCCAGUAUGGGAUGUGGUACUGUGUCGGUGGGGACCUAUUGCGGACACGGUCAUUCCAUGGACAGGCAGUGGUGCGAUGCCUGCGUCAGCUCCGUGGCGUGUGCUGUGGGAGUGUGAGAAUGUGAGGCGGGCGCAGACGUCUCUGCUAACUGCACUCGACUCAUGCAUCGGGCUCAUUGCGCGCUGGCAGAUACAUUAGUGCGGGCGACGCCUGAGGCGUCGGCCCGCGGAACGUACCUUCAUACACUUACCAGACUAGAAGGAUCGACCACCAUCCUGCUCUCUUUCUAGGCUAGGAGUGGAAGGGGCGCAGCCGGGGGCCGUUGUAACACACAUUGACACUGCAAAGCGGGCCUGCCUCUCUUUCCCCUGGCGUUCCGGUAGCUACACUCCAACAGCCAUUCGCCCUAGUUUGGCAUGUUCAGCCGAGCUGGCCAGCACACAGUUCUCGCGCGGCGUUUUGUGAGUUCUGUGAGAUAUCUGGAGCGGAGUGGCGGGCCCCCACCGGCCGUGCGCGUUUGCCAGCGUGUGCAUAGCCAGGUGCCACUCGCGCGAGAUUGACUUUCCGCGGGCCCAGGGAUUGCUACGGUCACCGCUCGUGGAGCUCCAUCGCCAGCGACAUCUUCUUCACCAUCACCUCGCCGCGGUCCCUGAUGAUUACAAUAUCGCGAGCAGCUGGUGUGGAUGGCUUUUAUGAGUAGGGCUGAGUGUCCUGACCAGUCACAUGACACCGGGCUGACUUGUUUAUGUGAGCGUUCCAUAGUUCAAUCAGCAUACAAGACAUUCAUUGCUGCAUACUCUUCGGCCUAACGCAACUCGCUGGCAGUCGUCAACUCUCUCGCCGGGCACAAACUCAUUCCUGUGUUAUUCUGCUGUCAGCUUCGCAUCAGGUCAUCGCUGUAUGUGGUCUUGUAUCUCGAGGACGCUUUUGGACUACUGCGAGUGUGAGCAUGGCGAGCAGCGAGGUUCGUGUAUCUCGCAUGUGCAUGUCGAUGGCGGGCGCUGGAGUGGGGAGUAGUGUACUGGAUUCGUGCAGGGGGGGCUCAGUCAGUUGCUUUGUUGUGUGUGUGGCGAUGUGCGUGUGUGCCGUCUGUGCACUGGUGUGGCAUCUUCCGUGGCAAUUACCGCCUGGGUUCAGGGAGUGGUGCCUUUGUGACUCGUGGCUGUUGCAAGGGCUUCAGUGAGGGUUUCGGACGGUUUGCCCUCACGCACUUGUGCAGCGUGGCGCUGAUGCGUUGUUGCGAGGUGACUGGCAUGGCAUACAGGCCACUGGGCCAACACUUCAACCAUGCCGUGGCCUGCAGCCCCGGACAUGAUUGUGGGGGGGGGGGACUUCCCACCCCGGUGGCAGCGCUUUACCAGAACUGGGUUGGGGCCCGUCAUGCCUGGCUGCGUUGUCUGCUAUGGACCUUGGGCGGCAACGGAUUAUGGUGGCCGGGCAAGGGUUGCCCGCCGCGGCCGCGCUUCUGUCUGGCCGUGUGUGGGCUAUCGGACUGGAGGUUGUGGCUGACUUCUGGGGCGGUUGCAGGCGUUAGCUAGUUUGGGCGCGCGCCCUGGUGGCUGGGACACUGUCCCCUAUGGGCACGUGUUCCUGUCUCGGGGGGCCGACGACCGCACUGUUGUCGUGUUGCCGUAUGACGCUGAUUCUCACCCCCCGUCUCCUUGAUGGGUGUUGGGCGUAUUGGACAGCGCGGCACGUCGUGAGCGCGGUGCCCGUGGCUACUGGCCGUGUGUGCUGGCCCGGCGGUGUGCUGCCGUGACUGUAAGUGCGCGUAGGUAUUGGUGUAGCGAUGCCUUAUGAGCCGCGUAUCUUGUGAUGCUGUGUCUGGUGUGGCUCUGGCGGGCGUUUGCUUAGCUUCGACACGCUUACGCAGAUGUAAGUUGGGUCGGCAGCCGAGCAGGGGCGCGGUUCCCUUUCUUGUCCACUCAUCACUUUGCAGUUACCGGUACUACCCUGAUCGAAACAAUGAAAGCGGAUCCUGAACGCUCUCGUCAAGCUCUAUCCAUUUUGGGGCUGGGGUACAACAAGGGGUGUCAGCUUUGUACAGCUGGAAAAUGGGCUGAGCCCCAUGUAGCGCAAGGGAUGUGACGAUGGGCACCGGCGACAUGAACAGCACCCUUGCAUGCCCAUCCAGCGGGACUGGCCACUAUGCCAACGCCGUGCCGAGGCACCGACAUGCCCUGUCCCCGCCACGCCACGCCACCUUACCCACGCCACUUCACGGUCCAUGAUAUCCCAAAUGCACCUCACCCACAUCCCACUCAAGCACCGCAAACGGCUAGCCGGGCUCGGGCGCGGGCUCCCGGGCCGCGACACAUUUAAGGCUCGGGGACGCAUGGUUUGGCUGUUGCAAACAAUUUCGACAUUCUUGCCCCAAGACGCUUGUCGUCGACAUGUUUUGAUACAUGGAUGUAAGAUAUUUAGGGGCCGAGAGCUAUACUCGCGGACUGAAGAAAGUCAAGAUGUCCAUGGACUCACGAGGUCGCUUCUCGCUCCGGCCGAGUUUUCCCUGCCGCCUAUUUUUCUACAAUAGGGAAUAGCAAUUAAUAAUACGUGGCACUCGCGGUUUGCGCCAGUUUGGCACUUUUUGUCGACGCAGGCAGGCACACACGCACGCACGCACGCACGGACAGGGGCAAUCCUGGGGGGCUUCGCCCCCCCCUGGAUCGCUUCGCUCGGGGGGCUCAGCCCAAAAAUGUAGAUCUUACCCCCGCCCCUGUCUGCCACGGCAUAAAUCCAACCAUGUUUGCAAAGGAGAUUCCGGGACACCGGAGCAUACAUGUAACGAAACAUGAUGAAGUAUAUCGUGAAGCGUGUUCAUGGUCAUGUAAAGACUCGUCAAUAAGUGGCGCCUGAAGGAGGCCACGAAGCUCUUGGACAUGUGCGACAGCGACUGAGGGCCAGCUGUGCGGAAGUCAUGUGCAGCUCCCAGCUUCCACCCACGGUCAGCAUCCAGUCGCCAGUCAGGCCUCACUCCGGCCUCUGCAGCGCCAGUUUUUUCCCACCUGCAGCUAAACCUGCAGCACCUACAGCUGUCCCUGUCCCCUGGUCCCCUGGUCCCAUGUCCCAAAUUUCGCUCCACAGCCUCUGGCAGCAGAUAUAAUUCGCUCUCCAGCACAGACUCUUCCAGCAAACAUCUCACAGUAAAACACUUUGCCAGUCCUUGAAACAUGCCCGAAUCUGAUACCUUAGGGCGCGCUCUCAGCCCCCCUCCCAAAGUCACAGCUUCUCGCCUUAAUGUCAGCUACGCUUCCUCACCUCAUUUUGUGAUGUUGGCGUGUUGCACCGCAUUCGGUCGCCCACCACGCCGUACAUCUCGGGCCCCUUCUUCUGCCUUGUCGCGCCCUGUUACUGCCCUUGCUUUGCACACUGUCGCCCGGCCAUUGUUUUGCUGCACGCCGCUCGCAUUAACUUUACCCUCAGUCUAGCGCUCAUCCGUGGACGCUGGACGCCUGACUGCAGGUGCGACGGUCCCAUCUCUCUCGCGCUGUGUGCGUGGCGUCGCAUUGUGUGUGGUGGAAUUGCCUGGCCGGGCGCCCCGAGCGCGCGUGAGGAAUGCGCAACAGCAAAACGCUCCAGCGACAUCGGCUACCUCAGUCGGUACAGUCACAGCGCGCAAUUUUGUCUCUGCCCCAACUGCUUUUAAUUUGCUGGUAUUAUGGGGGGGGUGGGAUCUUCAGACACUCACGGGAUGCCGCGCAGUUGUUCCCUUGCUUGCAUUACCGACUCGCGGGGACGCUACACAGCUAUUCCCUUGCAUGUAUUACCAACUGUGCGGAAGUCAGGGAUGUUGCUGGCAGCUGUGGGAGAGGCGCAGCGGCGGGCGGAGCUUCGGAUAGCGGUUGCGGUGUGUCAGACAGGGCACGUGCGGAUCUGCCGAACCAACGAGGGCAUGUGUCCUUGCAGUUGCUGCUGCAUUAGGAGUGGCGUGAUUCCGCCUUGUUCCGCCUGGUUUCGGCCUGGUUCCGCCUGGUUCCGCCUUGUUUAGUAGAUUUGGCCGGAUUCUGUCCGGCAGGUUUACUGCGGACCCCAAUAAAUCAAGUAGUGAAGGUCGAUCGGGUGAUUGAAUUAGCGGCUGGUAGACGAGGGCGGUGCAGGUGGCGCACCCCUCAGGUCAAAGCAGAAGCUCGCGACCCGCGUCGGCAGGUCCCUGUUGAAACCAAUGCAUACUGUAUUAGGAAGGUGUCGAAGAACGUAGCGCGGACAGAAUGCUAGGUGGCACGACAGAGGCGGGCCCGUUUCAAUUGAGUGAGGUCCGAAGGAUACGGCCCCAAGAGGCCCCAAGCAUGCAGCAUCUGUGCCUUCCCCUCGCGGUUAUUGGAGUUGCUAGAGAGCUGCGGGGUACAUGGGCUGGUGGUGAAUAUCAGUGCGUGCUUGGCUUGGGCUGGGUUUGUGCCCUACGGUAGGUGUGAACGAACUCUUCACUUCCCGCCAGAGCCCCUCAGAGCCCACCAGAGCCGCAUCCGCAGUUUAGCACACGCCCGUAACAGAGCCCGCCAGAGCCCGCCAGAGCCCGCCAGAGCCCGCCAGAGGCCUAUGAAGAUAAUGCAGAUCCCUCCUGGGGCUGAAACAGCCUAUGUAAAAAGCAGCAGGACAAGGGUGAUACGCACGCACGCACGCACGGACAGGGGUGAUCCGGGGGGAGUAGUUCCAGAAACUCGCUCGCUCGAAACCGAGACGUUGAUUGAGCUCGAAGCCCCUUCACAGUCUACAUACUAGUACUAAUGCGCGCCCGCGCACUAAUUGCCCAGCGCGUGGUGCUCCGAGAUGGCCGCUCGUGUAUGUUGCAGCUUCAUUGACCGCGUCACUCGGCCUAACGCCUGCGUACGUUCCGUACUACAUAGUCAGUGCCGUGCCUGUAUCGGACUUGCUAUGGAAGUGGUGGAAUCAGCGACACCACUGUCGAACGUUAGCAGCCCGCGCGGCCCAUGCGGCCCCACGUCCGCAGCCCCAUCAUAACAACUAGCGGACCGCCAUGCGAUCCAUGGGGCGUGCCCCUAAGGGAGUCAAGUGACAUGGCACCGCAACGUACGGUGUUACAAUGCCGAGCACGAGGGGAGGCGUGUGCAGGUAGUGGCCCUUACUGGCGUAGAGCUGAGGUGAAAGGAGGCUGGUGUAGAAAUGGCGACUGAAGUCUGAGUAUGAUCUGAGUGCCAGAGUCGUAACAAGCGUUGGACCAAAGGUACUGCGGAUGCUGCCGUGCGCACAGCCUCCCGGACCGGUGACCGGGUUGGGGUCGGGGUCGGGGUCGGGGUCGGGGUCGGGGUCGGGGCCCAGCACCUCAUCGGGGAAAUGGAGUCUGGGGAAAUGGGAUCCAAUGGACGCAAAAUCGCUCCAAUGAUAGCAUUCCGUUACAACUCGGAGGGGUGGCAUGGGGUACCGAUCCUACCGAUCCUCUGGUCACCCCAGGAUAGACUGACUUGCUAUCCUUUGUGCCGCGACCUCCAAUCCCAAUCCCUGAGGUCCGGGUUCCAAUCCUCGCCGUUCCUAUCCGAAUCCCUGAAAGCCUGGUUCCAAUCCCUGCCGUCCCAAACCCAAUCCCUCAAAGCCGGGUUCCAAUCCCUGCCGUUCCAAACCCAAUCCCUGAAAGCCGGGUUCCAAUCCUGGUAUCAGUGGCGCCAAUCCUAGUGUUCAGCGCGGGGCCCGUAUCCUUGAAGCCCAGGCCCUGCCAGACGGGCCUGUAUCCUUGAAGCCCAAGCCCUGCCAGACAGUUACAUAAUAAGCCGUAUGGCGGACAAAUAGUAUCCGCCUUUCGAGAGAGUCUAAUGAAGGCGUGGAAGCACGAGCGGCUGCAGUCUGAGCCAAGCACUUUCCCAUCAGACAACAAGCAACCAGGCGUGCAGAUGAGCAAGUACAAGCAUUGGAUGGGGCUGUGUGCGGAAGGAGCGGCACCACUGACCAUGCAAGGGCACAGUAGAGCAUUUAUACCAGUUGCGCACCGCAAGGCCUUGAUGAGGUUCCGCCUAUGCUGCUGGCCGCUUACUGCCAACCGCGCCUAUGGACGACCUAGGGAGGAGAGGAUAUGCCCGCUAUGUGUUGCAAAUGAAGUCGAAGAUGAGAAUCAUGUGCUCAUGCGGUGUACGGCCUACGACCAGUUGCGUUUGGGUAGCGAGAUCGAUUUUACAGGCGGAAUGCAGGCCGUCAUGCAGAAUGCGGACCCAGCCAGGUUAGCCGCGUUACUAGAUUCGCAUUUGGGAGCACAGGAGCAUAAGCACCCCCAUUCGGGGACCAAACUAGCUGCAUAUAUAAGUGUUGCAGGCGUUAUAAGGGCCCCCCGGCCGGAGGGAUGCAGUACCGCUCGCCCAGCCAAAUUCCGGGGGUGUCCCCCGGGCACACAUCCUGAGCCGCGAGAUAUUCUUACCUGGCCCGGCGACAUUCCCAGCCGGCCCGGCCGCAUCCCCAACCUGGCCCGGCCGAAUCCUGACAUGCCCCGGCCGAAUCCCCUACCUGGCCCGGCCGAAUCCCUACCUCCCCCAGCGAAAUCCCCAGCUGCCCCAGCCAAAUCCCCCACCUGGCGCGGCCAAAUCUGCAUUUGCCUAAGUGAACUGCCCUACUUGGCUCGGCCAUAGUGCUUUACCUGUCCACGCUGUAUGCUCCCGGGCCCAGGAGCAUCUCAGGCGCCGUCACCCGCCCCAUCACCCCUUCCCCUAGGCCUACACCCCUAGUCCUACCACCUUCACCACCUACAGACACAAGGCAGUCUCCAUUAUAUCAGGGCAGGUAUUACGGAGGGGCAUGAGCACGCAUGGUCCCGAUCAGCGAGCGAGCGAAUGAAGCAGGGAGGGCGGGGAACUUGAUGUGACUGCUCCCUAAGUUUAGUCGCAUUCCCACAGUAAACUUUUGUUAUGGCAGCAGGGUCAUGCGUGUUUCCGGGCACUGUUCAGGCGCUUGUCAGGAACUGACGAGCCCAAUAUCUCCGUCGCGGUAUUUUAGUGUGCCUUGAUGCUAAAAGGGGUACAGAUGCGGCUUUGUUAUCUAAAUCUACUUCACGCCAGCGCUUUGGUGCUAGGUGGGGAUAAGGAGCCAAUGGCUCCUGGCCGGCACCAACAGCGCUGGAGGUAGCUUAGCCAGCGCUGCAUUUGUCGAUGCUCUCGCGAAGGCACUUCUCGGUCCGCCCGAAUUUUCCCUGCCGUCUAUUUACAUGCAAUAUACAAUAGCAAACAAUAAUACGUAGCAGUCGCGGUUUGCGCCAGUAUGUUACUUUUUGCCGACGCAGGCAGGUACGACGCACGCACGCACGGACAGGGGUGAUCCGGGGGGAGUAGUUCCAGAAACCAAAGCAAACCGACUGAGGGAACCCGAACCGGCCCGUCAAGCCCGCAAACCCAGAGCGAGGAGGUGGUGUGGCCUUAACCUUUAAGUCUCGGGCGCCCUUGAGUUUUGAAUCUUCGGUCUUGCGGUCGGCGUUGUCGGUAGGAAUGGAGGUACCCAGGCUCGCGCGCGCACGACCUAGCUCCGUUAGCUAACACAACGCGACGCGAUCGGAGUACUCGCCUGCUUGGUACCAGAGCAAGGCCGGCGCCACGUUAGUUGGGAGCGCCGGCACCGCAGGCGGACAUGUGUGUUCGCCCCCCCCCCUGUCUCGCUGCGCUCGGGGGGCUCAGCCCAAAAACACGCAUUUGAAGUUAACUUUUGGUGUUUGGUGUUAACUCAGCAUGUUAAGGAGGCACCUUCCCUGAUGAGGCAGCGUGUGAUUAGUGGGUAAAAGCCUCUUGACCGCGUGCGAUUUCUGGAGGGUAAGGCGCUGUUUGACAAGGAGAAGGGCACCUGCUCACAGCGGAUGUACACCGUGACACGGCAGCCUGUACCGCCCAUCAGAGAUGCAACUGGUGCGUGAGGUGACAGACAGGUGUCGGGUGGCGCGAAGCGACAGGCAGAGGCCGCGCAGGAGCAGCGCCAGGUUCGGCGCGUUGCUCGCGCUCUUGCGACCACUCAGAAGCAGGCCACACGCGCAAUUGAAGCACGAGACCCAACCGCCGCGCCGGCGCCCGCGAAGAAGCCUGCGGGGCGUAAGCGCGGCAAGCAACAGGCAGAAUAUUUACAUAAAUACUAUUGACCGCCAAUGUCCUCGAAACCAGCCACCGGCAAGCGCGAGCAGGUGCGUGGCGAAACACACUUCGAGGUGUCACGCUUCGAGGCGAGCAAGUACGUUGGUGGCAAGCUACAGUUUUUAGUAAAAUUCAAGGGAUUUCCUAAAGCGGAAUGGCUGCCUGCAGGAGGACCUGAGCGCCGACGCCUAUCGCGCGCUGCACAAGGCGAUGAAAGCAACGUGAUGCAUCCCUGUUUAUAUAUCUCGCAAAGUAUAUCAAAUUCUGUCGUUAUUUUCUACGCUGUCGCAGUCUGGUGCGACUGGGGAGUUUUGCCGGAAUUUCGCCCGAGUUUCGGCUGAGUUUCUGAGUUUCUCGCGAGUUUCUGUCGAGUUUUUGCCGAGUUGUAACGGAAUGCUACCGCCAAUUUCCGCCGAGUUCCCCUGCGCCCCGCCCGCGCGUGCACACCAGCGACUCUCAUGCACUCCAGCGAGUCCCGCCCGCGCUGCUGCCCAACUGUCAAACAUGUGAAGCCGUGUGCGCCAAGAGGCAGCUCAUGGAAACCGGGUCAGCCCCAUGCGUCUCUCUGAGCUUACACGCAGCUCACACACGCAGCUUCCCAGACGGCGCGCGCACGACUAAGCACUCCCACUCACACGCCGCGCCAACCGCCAGCCUCCGCCGUGUUCCACCGUGCUCAGACGCAGCUUCGCACACGCGUGUGCGCUCAACUGCCUGCUCCCACUCGCGCGCCUGCCGACAACCGCCAACGACCCGUGUGCGUCACUACAGUCAGGUAGCUUCCGAGCCGGGCCGCCGUACAACUACCUGCUCACACUCGCGCAGCUGCCGACUGCCACGCUACCUCCUGUACGGCUGAGGGGGGUUGGGGUGCCGUACACGAGUUAGUUGGGGGUUAGUCGGAGCUGUCCCAGGAUGAAGGUUUAUCUAUUUUUUCAGGAGUCCCCUGGCUUUAGUUCGUCCAGGCAGCAUUCGAUGGCCCCUGCGUGCUUGCACGCUUGGGUUGUCCUCUCUUGUAUUACCGCAAUCAAAACAUGCAUGUUUGAGCAUAUGGAUGCGGAUGUUACAGAGGGGACAGUCCCAGCUCCCGAAGACGCCGAGCCAUCACAUGCUAUCAGGGCCCAACCCCGACUUUGCUGCAAACCCUCCCGCGGGCAAAGUCCGUGUGACUCCGCGCACAGUGAGUCCUAGCCAAGCCUCAACCCGCCAGAGCCCCACCGCUGUGCCUCAACGCCACAAGCCUAGGCACAGGAGUGCCGGGAAACGUCUAGGCCGCAGGACACACGCACAGCGCACGCACUAACCAGGGCGCGGAGCAUAUGGUGCUGCGUUGGGCCUCUAGACCUGCUUGUAAGGCGCUUCCCGAAAUCCGCCAGGAUGGCUACGGAAAUUCGGCUGACCCCCAGGCACAACGACCGACCCCCAAAACUUCCUCACCAGACCACCUGACAAGACUAACUCAGCCCCUGGCCACUCAUCGUUGCGGAAGUUUUGCGCCGAUGGGGAGGGGGGGGAUUGGGGGGAGGGGCACUCCCUCCCCCCGCACGGGAUGCAAGCAUCGCACGGUACCGUAGUGUAGGCACCAGCAUAUAAGCACGGGCGGUGUUCCUACGCGAAGGGGAGGGGGGCUUCGGGGGGCGCUCGCCCUCCCAUACAGGAGGGCGCUGGCGCGUGAACGGACGGGCGGCGAAGCAGCCAGGGCGCGGCAGUCAGGCACGUUCGUGCGGGGCGAAUAGGCCGCGGCCAGUAAGUUUGCGCCGAUGGGGAAAGGGGGGGGGGCGUUGGGGGGAGGGGCACUCCCUCCCCCCGCACGGGAUGCAAGCAUCGCACGGUGGCGCAGGCACCAGCACACAAGCACGGGCGGUGUCCCCCCCCCAUACAGGAGGGCGCUCGCGCGCGAACGGACGGGCGGAGAAGCGGUCAGGCGCGCGGGUCAGUUCUUGCGGGGCGAAUAGGCCGCGGCCAGCACACCAGCAACAUAGAGAGCUUCCAAAUACAUUAUGACGAAUGCCAAGCCGCAAAGAUUGCGCGAUUUAGGCUGUCAGUCAAUCAGUCAGCAGGGAGCACUGUGCGCACAUAUUAUGUCCUACAAAUAGAUACUUAUUCAAUACAUCCGAUGAUCUCAACGAUGCACAGUAAGUCGCAUCCGCGGGCAAGCUUGUUGGUGGUGCAUUUGGCUCGCUCGCUGCGCUUCAGGGGAACCGUCCGCGUGUAGAUAAUACAGAUCAUCUCGAUCUAUCUAAUGAAUACGAUGAAUCACGCAUAUGCGCCUUGGGGAGAUUGCACAAUGGGGGGCAAACCGGUCCCGCGCUUCGCAUCCCUUCGGCCGAUCUUUGCGCUUGCAAAAAAGUAAAGGUGCUGGGCGCCCUGGCUAUUCUUUCACAUAAGAGUCAACGCGUUUCGUUCACCCACCCCACAAAGUGCAUCUCCUUUGACCAACGUUUUCUCACAGCAAACGCUGUCAAAAAUUAAUGGCGCGCCGCUGGGUUGGGCGUCAGGGCGCAAAUAGUCAGUUACACUUGGUCGCAGCCUUGAAAGCGGGCUGGGGCGCACGCCACACCCCAAAAACACGCCAGGAGACACACUUUGGAACAGCAUGUGUAGAUGAGUGGCUGCAGCACAUGCACGGCUCUGCGGCUGGCACCUACGUACCGCCGUGGACAGCCGCCGCCACCGCCCUGGUGCAGCAGCUACACACGGCCGCCCACCCCCUCUGCGUCCUGACGAUGCAGCGGGCGGCCGGCGGUGUCGGACCCGCUGCCGAUGGCUGUGCAAUCUUCGGCCAGCCGGUGGCGGCAACCUGCCCGGCCCUCGUGCGCCUCCUGGGUGCCCUCAGCUACCUGCCUCCGGUCACAAUCCUACGCCCGGCUGUGCUGGUGCCAGGGCCCUGGUGCUUUGCACUUCCGCUCUGGGGCAAUCCAGUCUUGCCAUGUGCGGCGGGGCUUCAGGCGGGUGGCUUGGAACGUGACUUCCCAGCUCUCAUGGCGCUGCCGGGUCUGCUCACGCUCGGCACGGCAGUGCGGUGCUGGGAGGCGCUGGCCGCGGUGCGCCAGCUGGUGGCUUCCAAGCCGGCUGGUGCGCUCGGGCCGCGCCUCGCACGCCGCUGCACUAUACAGUACAAGCGGUCCGUCCUGCGCCCCGUCCUGCGCAUUACGGAUAUGGCGCGCGUGCCGCCGGAGCUGCAGUCCGGACCGGAUGCUGCUGCCCAAUUCUCCGCGCUGCUGGCCCGUGUACCGGCGGCGUGGAGGGUGGCGGCGUCGGCCACGCUGCAUGCUCCUGGCGGCGCGGCCUCCGCGCCUCCUGCCCCCCAGGUAUGGCUGCUGCUUGCGCAGAGCCUGGGGUGGCGGCAUGGCGCGGCUGACGUGCCCUUGCUGACCCUUACGGUGAAGCAGGCAACCCAGCUUCAACUUGCGCCUGCGUACGACGCGCUCCGCGUGCGUCACUUGGCCUUCAUCCAAGAGGCCCACAGCGGCGCCGCGCCGCCAGCGGAAGCGAUUCAUGCGCUGCGGGCGGCCUUGGCGCGGCUGUGGGCUUUGGUGUGGGAGCCGCGACACAAGGAACCGCUCUGGCGUCUGGCAGUCAAUGGGUUCACGGGCUUUGGGAUGCUUGCGGCGUGGGCCGCAGAUGGACGCGUGGAGAAGUGCCCAUGUGGGACUCAGAUGACUGCUGGGGCUAGGGUUCAUCACUUCUGGGACUGUGUGGUGGCGGAGGCUCUGCGUGAUGUGAUGCGGGAGCAUGCGAAUGUGGACAUCACACGGAACCAGUUGUGGUUAGUACAGGCGCCACCAGGGCUAUCGCAGGCGGUGUGGGACAUCGUGUGCUUGGCUGCUGUGGCGGCCCUGGAAUACGGCCGACAGCGCCUUUACGCUUGCCGUGAUGCUGCAGACCGGACUGCGGAGGUUGCUGUUGUGCGAAGGAUCGGUGUGGAGGUGAUUGCGGACUUCUGGUCACGGCUGGCUGCGUUUGUGAGUCUGCGUCGGCCUCCGCGCCGCUGGGACCUUGUCCCGAACCAGCACCCAUUCCUAGCGUCAGAUGAUGUUGGAGGGGUUAUUUUGGUAGGGCCAACAGCGGACUCGCCACCGGCCUCACCCUAGCUUGUCAGCUUAGGGACUCGCAAGAGGUAGUCUUAUGACGCCGACCCACGGCUUAGGUGAGCAGCGCUAGCGUUUGCGGUGAGCCGGGCCUGGGGUUCCUCCCCUCUCCGGAGGCGAGGAGCAUGGGGGUCAUUCGGGGAUCUCUCCUCGGGUGAGCGUGCGUGUCUCGUACGUUUUUGGGGCCCUGGCUAGUCCACGGCUGUCGUCCCACAUGUAACCUCUAUCAGCUAAUUAUGCGGUACAUGGUGCAGGGCAGUCUGUACUGACUGUUCCGUUGUGCUGCGCUGUCCCGGCCGCCCCUGGACCUCCCGCCUCUCACCCACCAUGCCCCACCCCUUGACCCGGGUAGCCGGGUUGCUUCCUUAAGGGGCUACGCUAGCCCGCCCGUAACCAGUCCCAUCGCACCCACUCCUUUCUCAGCCCCAGCCCUCUGGCAGUAGCACGGGAGGGUCAGGAGUGGGCAGUGCGGUAGUGCACACCUCCAUGUCUCCAUCCGCCUCCAUGGCGGGGGGGGGGCACAGGCCAACAGUCCGAGAGGCAAAUUUGUGCCUGUCACUUGAGUGCACGUGCCGCGGCAUGCGUUUGUGUUUGGGGCAAUCGCACGUCGUGAUGGGCCCAGGACGCAUCAAUUAUCCUGCCUCUUCGUGCCGCUGUCGUACUUCCAUGUGCGAUGGUGCAUGCGCGACGCAGCGGCUGUGGUCUUUCCUGGGAGGGGGGGGGGAAGCCCACGUCUAACCCAACCUAUAGCGGCGGAGCCACGUCUGAUUGUCUGACUGGACAGUAUUCCGCUGACCACGACCAUGUUCCCCACUUUAGUCCUGCUUGUCGCCCAACAGGUGUGGGCUGCUGAUCACAGGCUAGUUGCCCUGCUGCUGCGCGUCAAAGACCACGUGACCUGCACCUACGCCUGCACCUACGCUGUUGUCGGCGCCCCACGUGCGUGUACAAUGCGCAUCAGCAAACUUCCAGCCAGCCAGCAACUUGUCGGUACAGUAACUCCGGCGUUCGACCAGCCAUGCACUCCUGCUCUGCCGCUGCAAACUGUUUGCUGUCUGCUUGGGGUAUGGGCGUCAGCUGCACCCUAUGGGACCUCGCCAACCUGCCUGAACCCUGUCCCAUCACACCCCCACGUGCGUGUACGGAGGCGCAGGUACAGACCGCUGCUGCUGCCAGGUCCCACCCUUGUGCCUGACGCUGGUGCUGCGCCACCCGCACCUGCGCGCGCUGAAUAACCCGCUCCUGCGUUAUACCCCUCAAGAGACAGCACGGCACUUGGGACCGGAACCUCGGAAUCACGUACUCUUCACGUUACAGCAACGCUACUAGCGAGACAACGACGCAACCAGCGCAGUGGCUGGACAGACCCAGCGAGGCCUCCUCCGCCGCGGCGAUGCACCCGCCGCCAGCCGCCAGGCGGGCGCGCCCGCCGCCGCCACCUCAAAUCGCUGCGCCCUCCUCCUCCGCCACUGCCGCUUGCUAGGCUGCUGCUGCUGCCACCGCUGCUGCUGCAAUUCCGGCUGGGCUCGCUCCGCCACCAAAACCACCACCGGCUGCUGCUGCGGCCAUGACGGCCGCCGCGCUGUUGCGGCACACCGGCAUAUCGCGACGCCGCGCGCCUACAGGCGGCGACCGCGGCGACCACCCUUCCGGCGGGUGGAGUCGGUGGGGAUGGGGGUCACGUCCUCUGCAUGGUGAAAUAGAGAUUGGGCACACAACGGUCAGGUUCGGGAGCAGUACCAUAAUAUGCAAUGUAAAAGAGGCCGCACAUGGGUGAGCGCGCGGCCGGAGAUAGCGCAGGGGCACGGGGAGCAGCGCGCCUGCGGGGCCGCUGGCUGGGACUGCACGAUGCGCUGGGCGCCUGCGGAAAACCGUGACUGCGCUGGUGCAGCAGCAGCUGGCUGGCUGGGCGCCUGAGGACGAAAUGCACCGCGCGACGUGUGCCGCACCAGCGCGCAUCCGCCAGACAUCGCCACGCUGCACUGCGCCAGCACAAGGCCCGGCACUGCCGCCCGUACUGCGGCGGUCAGCAACACCGCGAGGGCCGCCGCAAGCCGCCGAGCUGUGCACGCCGCAGACUUCUGCAGUGACUGAAGAGUGGUGUGGCCACGCUGGUAGCCUCAGCGCGGCCCUCCGUGCGCAGUGCAAGCUCUGCUUCCGGCACGGCUGCCAGAGCUGUGCCGUCAACCCGCCACCGCCCAACGCGCCCCAAGCACCGGCCUAGCAAGCCAAGCUGUGAGGCCGAGAGGCACGGGCCAGACGGCGCUGCUGCUGCGGGCCGCUGCUGCUGCACGGAAGCGUCAACUAGCCGGUACGUCUGCUGGCUGCCCCCGUCACGCAGACCGCGACCUCCCGGCCAGGCCAAGGUACCAAGACGCGGUGGCGGCCGCCCGCCAGACCAGCCCACAUCCCCGGCCUGCGGCGCCUGCUUGCGUGCGCUGCUCCCAGCGCUGCUGCAUGCGGGAGCAGCAUCACCCCCGACGAGGCGGCACCGGACGCGGGUCCUCCGUGGGCAGCCGGCGCUGCCGUUGACGCCUUGCGGCUCCUGCUCCUGCUGCCGCUGGCGCCGCCCGGACCCACCAUGGCUGCUGCGGCUGCCCCAAAUAGGCGCCAGCAUCCAUCACCAUGGUGCUACUGCCACCUCCGCUGUUGUCCCUGCCACUGACAUAAACCCUGAAUGUACGAACACCGCCUGCCGAGUGGCUGCGCCACAGUCGGUGCCGUGCGCCUGCUGACGCGGACGUCUCCGCUGCGACUGCUGCCGCCAUGAGUCCGCGCUUGCUCGCCGUGAUCCGUUUCCUCCACAUGCCGCCAGCCGCAAUGUAUGCCCCAGCCCAACCUAUGGUCAAGCCCCUCCCGCCCCCUACAAAGGCCAGAUCAUCCGUGCAACCCAGCGCGCCGGGGCACAAGAUGGCAGCACUGCCCCCACUUCAUGCAAUCGUUCCCUCCCUCCCUAACCUCCCUCCCUCUCCCUUCCAUCCCCUCCGGACGUCCUCGACACCCCACCCACCGAUGCGGCCAAUCUUCAUGCCCGCGCGGGCCAGGGCACGCAGGGCGGACUGGGCACCGGGGCCGGGGGUCUUGGUCCGGUUGCCGCCGGUGGCGCGCAGCUUGAUGUGCAGGGCAGUGAUGCCCAGCUCCUGCACGCAGCAGAAUAAAAAAAUGUACCCAGCAUGAUUAGCCCAAAGCUCAGCAUUAUCACAAAGCGGGCGCUCCCGAGCGCUCCAUCACUGUCAAUCCUCCCUGUCUCUGGAGGGCUCCUCUACGUCCGCUGAUAGCUCCGGAUAAAAGUGCGCUGGAGUAUUCUGCAACCUGCAGCAUCGCCUGCGCCACUUCUCCGCUGGGCCACUGCCGCCCUGCUUGCCCGGCCGCCAAGCUCCUGUGCCGGCCUGCCCGUCCGCUGCCUCGCCAGACUGCUGCUGCAUCUUAAAGCUUCUGCCAAAACCUCCAGGAGCAUCCCGGGUCAAGAAGCGCCCUGCCGCCGCACGCAGUCGCCUGCCUCCUGCGCAGACAUUACAAGGCUGCCCGCAAAGCUUCCAACCCUCAAUUUGCCCAUUUACCUUGCACUUCUGGGCCACGUCCUGCGCGGCAAGCAUGGCCGCGUAGGGCGACGACUCGUCGCGGUCGGCCUUGACCUUCAUGCCGCCGGUGACGCGCGAAAUAGUUUCCCGGCCCGACAGGUCGGUCACAUGCACGAACGUGUCGUUGAAGCUGGCGAAGAUGUGAGCAACGCCGAAGACGUGCUCGCCCUCGCGGACGGUGGGGCCCAGGCUCACCACCUCCUUGGGGGCCUCAUCACCCUUGGCGGCCUUCUUGGGGGCCAUGGCUGCUGCUGUUUUGAGAGGAAGAGGGCGGGCAAGGUGCGCGCUCUCGGACUUGGCGCUCGCCGAGCUGCAUGAGCGCCGUACUGGCUCUUAAGUGGUUCUCGCUCCCUGCUGCUUCUGAAGCACCCGCGAAAAUUGCUCUGACUUUGACAUUAGUGUUCAAUGGCAUGAAAAUUUUACAAUGACACCAAAUAUGACCAUACGCUUGGGUUGACCGGCCAUCCGUUGACGAAGCCGGGCCGCAGCGCCUGUCGCAUACACGAUGGGACAAGGACGCAGCCGGCACGUAUAUGCUUUCCAGCCGCUCCCAUGGCCCGAAUCGCUGCACGCCUUUCGACUCAUCGACCAGGUGCGAACGCCACGCAUGUCCCACAACCUCCCUGCAUCACUAGCAGUCACGACCGUCUCAUGGGGCCUCAUCAUGUCCAAAUAAUCGCUAUGGCUCUAGGUCGGGCAUGAUACAGGUCACCUUGCCCGUUCGCCCGUAUGCCCCCGCGCGACGGCACGGCUUUCCUGCACCCAGCCUUGUCCUCGUCCUCCUCAACCCGAGCCCAGCCAUUCUCACUAGACCCUAUCACGUGCAGAUAUGUGGCAUCGCAACUACUUAUGCCACAACACACCUGGAGGUGCACGCGGUGCGCGUGCUGGACAAGGUUGGAGAGCUGCAGGUGCGAAGAACCGCGCAGCAACCGCCCCCCAUUGCGAAACCGGCGGCCAGUCAGCCCCUCUCAUCUUCCUCCUUCAUUGCAAGUCAGCGAUCCUUCCCACGUCGCGCCUUCCAGGGUGGUCCUACAAAGCCCCUCUCGCCCUCCAUUUCCAGUCCCCACAAACCCCUUCAUGCCCACCCCCGAACCACACCUUCCCCUGCACAGCGCCUGCCGUUCCAGUGGGAGGUGUUUGAGCCCGACUUCGAGCGCCUGCGCGGCAGCCACCUCAUGAAGCUGGCCACGGAGCUGCACAGCGCACUGGACAAACUGGAGGGGUGAGGGUGUGGAGGCAGGGGGUGGUGGAGGUGGCGUGGGGGGUUGGCGGGGUGAAUUGUGAAGGGGUGGAGCGGAAGGUGGAGCGGGGGGUGUAGAGGAAGGGGUGGAUGGCGGUGGAGGCACGGUCGGUGGCGGGAAGUGGUAGGGGUGGAGGUAUCAGGUGGUGGGGCUGGCAGGAGAUUAACCCAGGAGUGGGUGGCGACAGGGGUUUGUGUGGGGUGUGGGCGUGGGCAGGGCGUGGGAUGGGGCUUCAUGUGGUUGAGGUGUGCGCAAGCGGAAUGCCGUGCGGUGCGACGCGGGCUGGGGGCGUGGGGCGGAGCGGUGCACUUGGACACAGAGAAGCUGGGGGCAAGUGGAUGAGUGGCGAUGGGCGGCAGGAGGGAUGAGGUGCCGCGCUUCAGAGGGUGUGGGCAUAGGUGGCCCUGCGUCGGGACUGCAUGGUCCCAGCUUGGACACAUACCGCACGGCCCGGCGCCGCACGACUCGCAGCUCCCAACCCGACCAGCCCCACGUCCCGCCCGCCCGUCCGCCCUACAUGCACCCAUCGCCGCUGCUGUGACCGCUUCACCUCGCCCCACCUCCCCCCUGCCCUGGUUUGGGCUGGUAUCUACAACCCCCACCCCACCCCACCCCUGCCGUACACAGGUGCAAGUACGACAUUGGCGUGCUGGCGGAGAAGGGGCUCAUGUUCAAGUGAGGCGGGCAGGGAGGCAUACGCCCGAGCCAAACGAAACAGGCCUCAAUUGUCAAGGGGGAAGGAGGCAAGGAAUACAGGGCGGAGGAGGGAGCGGGGGAAAGAGGAGAGGAGGAGCCGAGGGCGGGAGGCGGGCGCAUGUUCGGGUGGAAGGGAGGGAACUGUGUGCAAGAAACGGCGGGGCUGCGGGGGCUGCGGGAGCUGUGCGGCGUGGCAGGCGGCACAGACAAGCUGUUGUAUGCUGGGUCAGUGAGUUGAGAAGUUGAGGGCACGGCAGCUCCACACCUGCAGCGCCAACCAAAACUUGCAUGCGCCCAAUCACGCGCCUGCACACACACACACACAUGCCUUUGCGCUUAUGCUUCUUUGUGCUCUUCAACACACACAGGUCAUUGCGCAAGGCCGCUGACAAGGUGCUCCUGAUCCUGGCGGAGGUGGAGCAGGUGCGGCUGUGGGGGCUGUGUGGGGCUGUCACCACCGUGUACCGGGGGUCUACCUGCCGGUUGGCCGUCGUGACAUCCCGCAUUACCGUGAAGUGAAGUGUUGGGCGUAUGUGGCUGCGAGCCUAACUUGGGGUUGCGAGCCUAAAGCGGGAUGCGCUUCACCAGACCGGCACCUCUCGCACCACUAACUGCACGGCUGCACCUCGCACGUUCCCUCGCGGACACGGCUUUAAAUCAACUUAACUGCCGCUCCCACCUCCCGCUCAGAUCCACCGCACCUUCCACUACACAUUUGAGCUGGCGCUGUACGAGAGCGUGCGGGUACGUGAGCAUGCGUUCUUGCGUGGGGGGGGGGGGGGCUGUAAGUACCAGCCCAAACAAAACCAAACCAAGCCAAAUUAGCGGAGCACAGGCAGAGGCGAGGGGGCAAGGAGGCUGCUGGUUUGCCGUUGAUUCGCUGUUGGGAUGGAGGGCUACUUCGGGGGAAAGGCCUGAGGUUGCAUCUGGCCGCGUGAGCUACGUGCGUUUUGCUGGCGUCGCGCGAAAGGGACCCAUGUUGUCGUUGUGAGAGCGCCGGUUGGAAACAUGUUGUCACAGGACGACACGCCGUCGCCACCCGGCAGCCUCCGAGCCAACAGCCCGGCGCGCUCCACGCUGCGCACCCCAGUCAGCGGUGGCGGCGCGCGCAGCUUCGGCAGCAGCGGCGGCGGCGCACGCGGGAUGAGCAGCGGCGGCGGUGCCCGCGGAAUCGUCAGUGGCGGCCGCCGCCAGCCUGUGCUGUUGCCGCCUCCCCCCGAGCCCGAGGACAGCGAUUUAUAUUCGCAGACCACCACCACUUCGCCGCGACCACACCUGCAGCAGCAGCCGUCGGCGCAGCGGCAGUUGCCGCCCCGGACAUCUCCCAGUGUGCGGCAGCCGGCGGCUCCGGCGGCGGCGGCGCCGCCGGCGCAAACAGCUGCUUUUCAGCCGCAGGCAAUGGCCGCGAUGGCUCCGCCACCGGUGGUGGCGCAGCGGUCUGUUCGGAUCAUGAGCGAUGCUGCCACCUCGACGCCCACCCACAUGGCACAGCAGCAGCAGGCAGCGGCAGUAGCAGCGGGUGCCGGUGCUACAGCUUCCCCGGUCGUUGCACGGACGCGGGCGCAGGCGUACAAGACGCCGCAGCCGCAGCAGCAACAACAACAGCAGCAGCAGCAGUAUGUGGUGGUGUACCUGCCCCAGGUGAGCGGAGGAAGCAGUAGCAGCAGUAGGCUGUGCGUGCACGGGGGCAAGGGCGGGCAAGCACGCCGUGCAUCGCUUCGGCAUGCGGGCAUGACAACAAAAAAUGCAUAAACGCUUAUACCUGAUGAGUGAUUACCGGUAUGCUGCGCUGCUCGCCGUGUCGGCCCCCGGCUCUGACCUGAAGCAUCGCCUUUAUACUUCUCCUCCCGUUCCCCCCAGGGCCCCGGCAGCAGCGGCCCCCGUGCCAUCCUGGUGCCCUCCGAGGCGCUGCAGCCCGCGCCCAGCACCCCCGCGCCCAGCGGCGGCGGCGCGCCGCCCUCCCCCUCCUCCCUGCAUUACUCCCCCGCGCCCUCGCUACGCAGCGGAACCGUUGGUUCCACGGCCUACACAGGAGGAGGAGGCGGCUCGCCGUAUUCGCCGCAUUCGCCGUACGCGCCGCCGCCGCACAUGCCAACCGUGGCGUCGAUUGCUGGCCACGGCAGCCGCGGCGCCGCCGGGUACGGCUCGCCGUACCAGGCGCCGCAACAGCACACACACAAUGCGCCGGCGGCGGACAGUAGCUACAGCCCCCGCCAACCCCUGUACGGGUCGACUGGUAUGAACGGUACCAGCCCGUACACAACCGCAACCGCCCACCCGACGUCAGGACCGUACGGGCACACGUCCGUGCCACGGCCUGGCUCGCCCCCGGCCUACAAGUACUUCUCCCCGCCCUCCUCGCCGCCCUCCCCUGGGCUGUCGUACGUCACCUCACCGCCGCCGUACUCCACAGCAGCGCCGCAGCAGCAGUACAAUCCGUACGCAUCGCCGUACUCGCCCGCCACGUCGUCCCUGUACGGCAGUCCGGCACCGCCGCCACCACAUCAGCCUCCGGCUGUAGCAACGACCGGCCCGUGGCUGGGCGCGGGGGCUACUGCUGCUACCGCCGUGCCGGCAGUGGUGCCGGGUGCUGCGCCGGGCAGUGUCAUGGUGUUACAGGUGUGUGUGGGGGUGUUGGCAGGAAAGUACAUCAGCAUAACCUUUGUUCUAUGGCACAAGGAUGGCAGCACGUUAUCUCUUGUGGUUGUAUGGUCUGGGCGCUGGUCCGGGUGCAACUAGGUGCAGCUUCGCGUCUAAUGUGAAUGUGAGUGUGUCUAUGUGAAUGUGUCUCCCACUCGCCCUGCUACAGCCUGUGUCGGCCACCAUGACCUCAUCCGGUGCGGUGGUGCUACAGCCGGCCAUGGCGGCACCCGGCGGCAUGGCGGCGCCGCCAAUGCUGGUGGUGGCGCAGGUGCGGCGUGUUUGCUUGCGUCCUUGUGCUCUGUGUGUACGUUUGGAACCCACCAUAGGGGAGCGGGGAGGGGCUGGGGGCGGUGGGAGAUCCGAAGCGCUUGCACAUCCGGGAAUGCGAUUCCAAGCAUUUAGGCGGUUGUGGCACGCAUGCACAACACCAAGCCCGUUGCCCUAAUCCCGCUAAAACCAAGCUCGUGCGCAUGCCCCGCCCCACGUGGCCCCGUUUGUUUUGUAGGACCCCGACUCAAUGCCGGGCGGCGGCGGCGGCAGCGGCGCGUCCCCCGGCCGCCAGCGCUCCGUGCGCUUCUCCCGUACGUACGACGAUGAGGAGGAGCAGCCAGAGGGAUACGACAGGCGGUACGACCAGGAUAUGGAUGAGGCGGCCCGCGUCAAUGGCGGCGGCAAUGGCAGUGGCAAUGGCAGUGGCAAUGGCAGUGGCGGGCGCCGCCAUCACUCGACGUACACGUACGUGGCCGGCCGUAACGCCGCGCCGUACCAGGCGCCAACCGCGGUACCCUCGUACCUCACGCCGUACCUCGGCGAGAUGUCCCCUCGCAUUGAUGAGGGCACGGGCAUGGGCGUUGGACCAGACGAUUGGGAGGGCGCGGAGGAGCGGGCGGCGGCGCAGGGCGCACGUGCGCGCCUGCGCAGCGGCGGCGGCGCCGCAUCGCUCAUGUCCAAGUAUCGGGACCUUUGGAGCACGCCCGCCGGGGCAGUAGCCGCGGCGCCACACGUACCGGUAGCAGGCGGCGGCCAGCCCGCGUACCUGGUCGAAGCAUACGCCGGCGGCGGCACCACAGCCAUGGCGGCGGCGGCGGCGCGGCCGCAGUCGCGUAGUGCCUCGCCGCGGCGCGAGUCGGAAGUGAUGCUUGGCGGCGGCGGCGGCGGCGGGCUGGACGGCACGGCAGCCGGAUUUGCGGCGCCGCCGGCACCUGCCGUACACAACAUCUCGUACGAGCGGUUGGCGGCGCUGGCGGGUUUGGAUCCAGAGGUGCUGGGUGCCGGCGCGGCGGCGGGCCUGACGGAGCGGCGGCGCAGCGGGGCUGCUACUGCCGCUACUGCCGUGAAGCCGUACGUGGUGCCUGGGGAGGAGGCGCUCCGGAAGAUGGAGAGUUUGCUGGAGGCAGCGGGUGAGUGCAGGCAGGGGCUUGACCGGGCAGGCGAAAGCUGCCGUCGUCACGCCCACGUACGGUGCGGUGCGGUACCUCUCGCAUGUGCAUGCCCUGCGCACUUUGCAUACGAAUUCACUCCUUACCAACUCCCACUUCCCACACAACAACACUCCAACGUCCACCCAAACCUCUACCCCUCUUUCUGUCAUCCACCAGAGGACGGCGACUGGGGCGCGGUGGCCGACAUGGCCGCCCUCAUCCGGGCCGGCUGGUGGGGCGACGCCCGCGAUGCCGCGGUGGCGCGUGGGCUGCUGCUGCAGGCGGCGCUGCGGGGUGAGGCAGCACUGGCGGGGCGGGGCGGGGCGGGGCGGGGCGGGGCGGGGGAAUGACUUUGCAUAACAUGGCUCGGGCAUUGGCGUGGCACGACCAGGGCCCAACCCAGGUGAAGCGUUGUAACGGUACCGGUUUUCAGCGGUUAAGCAGCUACGGGCCUCGUGCCGCGCAUGGACAUGCCCGUGCAUGCCUCUGCCUGCACAUGCACUUCGACAUACACGCACAUGUGUGAACCUUAUCACUGUCAUACCGUAACAUAGCAUCGUCUAUUGAAGAUUAUUUGACAUUGGAGUGGCACGAACGCACAUGAACAUGCCCUCGCAUGCCUCUGCCUGCACAUGCACUUUGACAUACACGCACAUGUGUAAACCGUAUAGCCUUCACAACAUGAUAUCAUCUGCUGGUGCUUCUUUACAUUAUUGUCACAAUACACACGCCCACGCAGGCGGCUCCGUGGCGGCGCACGCGGCCCUGGGUGGCAUGGCGGAGCGCGGCGAGGGCCUGCCCGGCGGCCUGCCCGACCAGGCGGCGGCGGCGCGGCACUACGCGGCGGCGGCGGCGGGCGGACACCGGGACGCCGCCACCGCAUACGCCUACCUGCUGGUGAGGGGAAGCUGAACACGCGUGACCCCUGCGUGUAUGGUGUGUGUGUGUGUGUGUGUGUGUGUGUGUGUGUGUGUGUGUGUGUGUGUGUGUGUGUGUGUGUGUAUAUGCAUCGGACUGUUUAGGUGCCACGCCCGCCUCACCCGAUUUGAUGCAUUGUUUGAUGCAUCACAACCUACAUUACUUGACUGCACUGCACCCUAUGUAUCCCCCGAGUUCGGUUUAGUUUGGGCUGGUAUCUACAACCAUCCCCCCCCCCCCCACACACACACACACAGGAGCACGGGCUGGGUGUGGCGCAGGACGAGCCGCGCGCCGCCCAGAUGUACGCCGCAGCCGCGCAGCGCGGCUGCCCCACCGCCGCCAACAACCUAGCCAAAAUGAUUCUGGACGGCCGCGGCGGCAUCAUGCAGGUGCCUGCAGCCGCCGCCACCGGCGGCCGGUCUCGGCGGCGCAUGGGUGCGGAUGGCGUGGCGGCGCCGGCGCCGGCGGCCCCGACGCCCGUUUCCAUGGCGAUGGCUUUGUUCAGGCGCGCCGCGGAAGCAGGCUCGGCGUCGGCGUGGUAUAACUUGGGCGUGUGCCAUCUUCAGCAGAUCAAGCAGCAGCAGGCUUCGCUGAAGAAGCUGGGACUGGCCGGGGGCGGAGGGGGAGGCGAGGCGACGCCGGUGUUGCUGGGAGCAAAGGACGAGGCCGGGAUGGCGGAGGCGAUUCGCUGCCUGGCUGAGGCGGCGAGCCGCGGCCAUGCCCGUGCGGCGCUGCGCGCCGGACACCUGCACCUGCUCCGCAGCGCCGCCGCCGCGGCCGUGGACGCCUUCGCAACCGCGGCGCUCAACGCCGCCGCCGCCAUGGCCGGCGCAGCUGGCGGCGGCGGCAGCCACGGCGGCGCCGCCGGCGAGGAAGCCGCCAGCCCGGCCGCUGCUGACGCGGCGGAGGUGGAGGCGGAGGCUCUGUGGUGCCUGGCACAACUGGCGGAGCGGCAGAGCGCGGUGCUCGAGGGCCGCGCGGCCGCGGCACUGGCGGCGGCGGCGGCGGGAUCGGCCGCUGGCAGUGAGGGCACUGGCGGUGGCCGGCCCAGCGGCGACGGCGGCGCGGCGGCGAGUCGGAUGAAUAGCGUCCGCAGCCGGGGGCUGGCGGCCAGCGCCAGUGGCAAUAGCCGCGCCAGCGGCGGCGCCCGCGCCUCUGGGGCCUCCGGUGAUGGCGACUUCGCCGGCGGCGGCUUCGACGCGGGCGUCGGUGCGAUGGGAGAUGACGACGUCGCAGUGGGCCAGCUGCUGGCGACGCUGGCGGGAACAAGCGCCGGCGGCGACGCCGCGGCUGCCGCCGCCGCAGCGGCGGCAAUCGCCGGCGGCGACGGCAUCAGCGAGGAUAUGGCGGCGGCAGCGGCGGCGGACCCAGCGGCGGCGGCAGCACUCCGCUUCGCAAAGGAGCUGUGCCGCCUGGACUUUGACUGCUGCCGCCAGCCCGGCGCCGUCCGGAGGGGCGGCGCGCUGACGACCGCGGCCGUGACGGCGGCAGGGCUCGACCCGUCCGGGGUUCCGCCAGCACAGCGCGUGCGCGGGCUGCGGCGGCUGCGACGUCAGGCACGCGAGGUGAUUGCCGAGUCGGCGGCGCCCGGCGUCAAGGCUGCCGCUGACAGCGGCGGCGACGGCGAGAGCCGGUCUUCGGUUGAUGGCGGCGGCGGCAGCGGCGGCUUCGCCGCCGGGCUGCCCUCGGCAGGGCCGGUCUCGUCGGCGCUAGCGCGCUUGGACCUGCAGCUGCAGCAGCCGGGAGAGCGCGCGACGCGGUCGCGGUGCGCGGCGGCGGAGCUGAUGGCGGCAGCGGCGGCGCGCGGCCAUGCAGGUGCGCAGCACUGGCUGGCGGGCUGGCAGUGGAGCAUGGGGCACACCGGCGGCGCGGCGGCGCUGUGGCAGGCGGCGGCGGCGCGGGGGCACGGCCCCUCGCUGAUGGUGCUGGGGCAGAUGGCGGAGGCAGGUCACGUGAUGGUGGCGGCGGCGGGGGCGUCGGCCGGCGGCGCCGCCGGCCAGCUGCAGACUGCGGGCCGUGGCGCGGACCUGGCGGCGGCGGCGCGUUACUAUCUGUAAGUGUGGGAGGUGAUGUGUGAGGGUUGUGUCUGAACUCUUUACGGGCACAGAAAUCAUGGUGAGACCUGCCUAUAGCUUGAAGCGGGUACAACAUGUUGAGUUCAUGAAGGCACCGACAGGCCCAUGCUGAAGUAAACAUUCCGUUUCAAUUCGUCCCGUCACAGGCGCGCGCAGGAGGCGGGUGCGCCGGGAGCCCUGGAGGCCAUGCGACGGGUGCAGCGCGUGCUGCAGCGGCACGUGACCCUGCAGGUGGGUUGAACGGUUGUACGUGUGUGUAUGCAAUUAUUGUUGUUGUGGGCAUGACGCACGCGGUUUAAGAAUGUUUGAGGCUCGUCUGGGCUUGUGGGCAGGACCGCGGAGGGGCGGGUAGGGGGUUACGGGUACGGAGGAUACACGGGCACAUGGUGGCAGUGUGAUACAGCGCGGCCUGAGGCCACGGCGUGCAACUCAGCAUUGCCUCUUUGCCAGCAUUCCGGCUCGCUGCGUACUGACAUGAUGACGUAUGGCCCAUCGACACACACACGCCCCCGUCUUAUGCUGCCUACGUGCUGACAGGGACGGCUGGAGGCCGUGGCGGUGAUGGGCGGACCUGCAACAGCUAGCGGGCGAGCGGCUGAAAAGGCUGGCAGCAGGGGCGUGAAGGGCGGUGGCGGGGCAGCUGGUGGUAGCCGACGGUUCUAGUGACUUAGAAUGGUGUCCUGCAGGCAUGGGUGGCCGGGCUGUGUGGCGGACUGCUAUGCUGAUGCUGGGUCUGGCACGGGAUGGUGCUUGCGUGUCAGAGUCAACGAGGGGACUCGGUGCAGUGUGUAGAGUGUAGACCGGCUGGCGUGAGGCGGCGUCUUGGUGUUCCCUGUGAUCCGGAUUGCUGCUUGUCGUAUCGGCGUGGGCUGACGGCGGUACCGAUGCAUGCAUGGCUGCUACAACGCAAGAGUCGCGGCGGUCAACACAACGUGCGCACACGUAUGGCGCCAUGCGUCAGACUGGCCAUCGCGGAAAUGACGUCCUGCGAGGUCGUUGGAACAAGAAACUGCCUCCCCAUGUGCAGAUACGGCAUACUAUCGAAAGCCGCACACCACACAGCAUGUCCGUAGGCACUGGAACACACACAACUGCAAAUGCCCAAUGCAUGCUAUAGCCUAAGAAGCCGUUCCUUUGCGCACGUACGUUACCAAACACGAUGUAGUCAGCAUGGAUCACGGAUGAGUGCAGAGCGUGCGCAUAUGUUCUUUAUCGUCUGCGCGCAAGGGUGUCGCUGCUGUUACAUCGAGUUGCUUGCUUGUGUACAAGCAAGGACAAGCAGUAAGGUGCCAAGACUUGUUCUGCGCUUUUGGCGUCCCUUACAGCAUGGGAGUGGUGAUGACCUAUGGGGAGAUGCCCACUCAACGCGCAACGGGGAUGUAGGGCGGCGGCCUAGCUCCGAGCCUCCGACACCCAUCAGUCAACGCACCGCACUACUGAGGGCAUGCAGGCACACACACCGCACACGUGCACCGCGACAGUUGUCACGGGAACUAAUUGCAACUUCCCAAGUGUUCUUCCUUGAUGUGUGUCUUGGCCAGGGGUGCCUCGGCACGCGAUCCGGUGACUCAUCGGUGACGCAGGGCAGAGGGCGGAAUGGGCGGGCCGCGCGUCCUGCGUUGUGAGUGUCUCAGUGACUAUGUUGCGGAGCGGUGCGAGCCGUGCAAGGGCCAUGGGGCAUCUGUGCAGCAACGCACCGACCCGCCAGGCCACGCCACGCUAGGUGGCCUGCAAGUCUCGCGUUCGGGCCGACGGAAGUGCACGGAAGCCAUACCAGCGGCCAAGGUGCGGAGGUAUGCAUGCUGCGUGUGGGGGCCCUUGACGGUGGGCGGCUACUGCGGUGCGGUAUGGGCCGCUUCCGUGCCCUGGAGCCUGUGCGCUGUGCCUGCCCGGCUCUGAGUAGUGAGCCAGGCUAGAUGACAUGCUGUAACUGCGCUCGGGCCGCCAGGAAUCAACACGGCCGGGCCACACGGUGUCCGGGCGCUCGGCCACCCCACACAGCGCAGGGCCCACGGACGAGCCAAGCAUCCGCGCGGCGGCUGUAAAUAUGCCCAGCCAUGAUUCAUCCAGACGUGUGUCUAUAUGGGCUUGCUAGGAGCUCCCUGGCAGUGCACGAGAGCCAUGCUUGGCGCGUGGGUGGGCAUGUCGACAUGUUUGCCGGGUCCGCAUUUCGUUAGGAUUCGGACUACCCCCACUUCAAGGCUGCUUGUUCGCGAUCAUUGAGGACCACCUAUAUGAUAAUAGGCAAAUGGAGGAACCGACGCCAGGAAUGUGGCGACUUUUAGACCAAGCCUUAGCGGCUCGCGACCGGGCCGGCCGCGCGAGAAUUGCGAAAACAACUCCCGAGGCCUGACCCAAUGCAGCUCAACCAGUGCGACAUAUGGCUUACACAUAUGACUGUAUAUCUAAUAUUUCACAGCGCUCGCCAGCAGCGCCACAAACGUGUGCCAGGUCGGGCCGUGGCACGGUGCCCGGCCAGUGCUCUGCGUGCAGUUCCUAGGCCGCCAUGCCCCUCUGGCGCAUACCGCUCCUACCCCCCGUCCUCCAUGCACCUCCGCAUACAUGCAUAGCAGUCGCCAGCAUCGCAGCUUGGCAAAGCGGCCCGCGCACGGACGCCGCCUAGGCGGCACCCAGCCCAGGGGUGCGUGCCAGGCCACGCGCUGCUGCGCCCGCAGCCGGCAGAGGCUGCAUGGGCUGGCCACACAUGCCGCAGUGACGUGGCUGGCUGGCACACAGCCUGCGCAUAGCGAUGCAGGCGGCCCUGGCCAGCCAGAAGCCGCCGACUCGCACCCACCCAUGCCGUUCGUGGCCCGCCGCCGCCGACAACACAAAUUCAGCGCAUCCCCAGUCGCGGCUUGGGCGUGGGAUUGAUUGAAGGGGCGCCUUCCCACUUCCGAUAGUACCCAGAGCCUGUCAGGCCAUGUGGGGAUGCGCGGAGGGGCGGAGUGGACAGGGCGCGUGCGGAGGUAUGCAUGCUUCGUGUGGGGGCCCUUGACGGCGGGCGGCUACUGCGGUGCGGUAUGGGCCGCUUCCGUGCCCUGGAGCCUGUGCGCUGUGCCUGCCCGGCUCUGAGUAGUGAGCCAGGCUAGAUGACAUGCUGUAACUGCGCUCGGGCCGCCAGGAAUCAACACGGCCGGGCCACACGGUGUCCGGGCGCUCGGCCACCCCACACAGCGCAGGGCCCACGGACGAGCCAAGCAUCCGCGCGGCGGCCGUAAAUAUGCCCAGCCAUGAUUCAUCCAGACGUGUGUCUAUAUGGGCUUGCUAGGAGAUCCCUGGCAGUGCACGAGAGCCAUGCUUGGCGCGUGGGUGGGCAUGUCGACAUGUUUGCCGGGUCCGCAUUUCGUUAGGAUUCGGACUACCCCCACUUCAAGGCAGCUUGUUCGCGGUCAUAGUGGACCACCUAUAUGGUAAUAGGCAAAUGGAGGAACCGACGCCAGGAAUGUGGCGACUUUUAGACCAAGCCUUGGCAGCUCGCGACCGGGCCGGCCGCGCGAGAAUUGCGAAAACAACUCCCGAGGCCUGACCCAAUGCAGCCCAACCAGUGCGACAUAUGGCUUACACAUAUGACUGUAUAUCUAGUAUUUCGCAGCGCUCGCCAGCAGCGCCACAAACGUGUGCCAGGUCGGGCUGUGGCACGGUGCCCGGCCAGUGCUCUGCGUGCAGUUCCUAGGCCGCCAUGCCCCUCUGGCGCAUACCGCUCCUACCCCGCGCCCUCCAGGCACCUCUGCAUACAUGCAUAGCAGUCGCCAGCAUCGCAGCUUGGCAAAGCGGCCCGCGCACGGACGCCGCCUAGGCGGCACCCAGCCCAGGGGUGCGUGCCAGGCCACGCGCUGCUGCGCCCGCAGCCGGCAGAGGCUGCCUUGGCUAGCCACGCAUGCCGCAGUGACGUGGCUGGCUGGCACACAGCCUGCGCAUAGCGAUGCAGGCGGCCCUGGCCAGCCAGAAGCCGCCGACACGCAUCCACCCAUGCCGUUCGUGGCCCGCCGCCGCCGACAACACAAAUUCAGCGCAUCCCCAGUCGCGGCUUGGGCGUGGGAUUGAUUGAAGGGGCGCCGUCCCACUUCCGAUAGUACCCAGAGCCUGUCAGGCCAUGUGGGGAUGCGCGGAGGGGCGGAGCGGACAGGGCGCGUGCGGAGGUAUGCAUGCUGCGUGUGGGGGCCCUUGACGGCGGGCGGCUACUGCGGUGCGGUAUGGGCCGCUUCCGUGCCCUGGAGCCUGUGCACUGUGCCUGCCCGGCUCUCAGUACUGAGCCAGGCUAGAUGACAUGCUGUAACUGCGCUCGGGCCGCCAGGAAUCAACACGGCCGGGCCACACGGUGUCCGGGCGCCCGGCCACCCCACACGGCGCAGGGCCCACGGACGGGCCCAGCGUCCGCCCGGCGGCUGUAAAUAUGCCCAGCCAUGAUUCAUUCGGACGUGUGUCUAUAUGGGCUUUCUAGGAGAUCCCUGGCAGUGCACGGGGGGCAUAUCUGGUGCGCGAGUGGGCAUGUCGACAUGUUUGCCGGGUCCGCAUUUCGUUAGGAUUCGGACUACCCCCACUUCAAGGCAGCUUGUUCGCGGUCAUAGUGGACCACCUAUAUGGUAAUAGGCAAAUGGAGGAACCGACGCCAGGAAUGUGGCGACUUUUAGACCAAGCCUUUGCAGCUCGCGACCGGGCCGGCCGCGCGAGAAUUGCGAAAACAACUCCCGAGGCCUGACCCAAUGCAGCCCAACCAGUGCGACAUAUGGCUUACACAUAUGACUGUAUAUCUAAUAUUUCACAGCGCUCGCCAGCAGCGCCACAAACGUGUGCCAGGUCGGGCCGUGGCACGGUGCCCGGCCAGUGCUCUGCGUGCAGUUCCUAGGCCGCCAUGCCCCUCUGGCGCAUACCGCUCCUACCCCCCGUCCUCCAUGCACCUCUGCAUACAUGCAUAGCAGUCGCCAGCAUCGCAACUCGGCAAAGCAGCCCGCGCACGGACACCGCCUAGGCGGCACCCAGCCCAGGGGUGCGUGCCAGGCCACGCGCUGCGCCCGCAGCCGGCAAGGGCCGCCCGGGCUGACCACGCAUGCCGCAAUGACGUGGAUGGCUGGCACAGAUCCUGUGCAUAGCGAUGCAGGCGGCUCUGUCCAGCCAGCAGCCGCCGACACGCACCCACCCGUGCCGUUCGUGGCCCGCCGCCGCCGACAGCACAAAUGCAGUGCAUCCCCAGUCGCGGCUUGGGCGUGGGAUUGGUUGAAGGGGCGCCGUACCGCUUCCGAUAGUACCCAGAGCCUGUCAGGUCAUUUGGGGAUGCGCAGAGGGGCGGAGUGGACAGGACGCGUGCGGAGGUAUGCAUGCUUCGUGUGGGGGCCCUUGACGGCGGGCGGCUUCUGCGGUGCGGUAUGGGCCGCUCCCGUGCCCUGGAGCCUGUGCGCUGUGCCUGCCCGGCUCUCAGUAGUGAGCCAGGCUAGAUGACAUGCUGUAACUGCGCUCGGGCCGCCAGGAAUCAACACGGCCGGGCCACACGGUGUCCGGGCGCCCGGCCACCCCACACGGCGCAGGGCCCACGGACGGGCCCAGCGUCCGCCCGGCGGCUGUAAAUAUGCCCAGCCAUGAUUCAUUCGGACGUGUGUCUAUAUGGGCUUUCUAGGAGCUCCCUGGCAGUGCACGGGGGGCAUAUCUGGCGCGCGAGUGGGCACGUCGACAUGUUUGCCGGGUCCGCAUUUCGUUAGGAUUCGGGCUACCCCCACUUCAAGGCAGCUUGUUCGCGGUCAUAGUGGACCACCUAUAUGAUAAUAGGCAAAUGGAGGAACCGACGCCAGGAAUGUGGCGACUUUUAGACCAAGCCUUUGCAGCUCGCGACCGGGCCGGCCGCGCGAGAAUUGCGAAAACAACUCCCGAGGCCUGACCCAAUGCAGCCCAACCAGUGCGACAUAUGGCCUACACAUAUGACUGUAUAUCUAAUAUUUCACAGCCCUCGCCAGCAGCGCCACAAACGUGUGCCAGGUCGGGCCGUGGCACGGUGCCCGGCCAGUGCUCUGCGUGCAGUUCCUAGGCCGCCAUGCCCCUCUGGCGCAUACCGCUCCUACCCCCCGUCCUCCAUGCACCUCUGCAUACAUGCAUAGCAGUCGCCAGCAUCGCAACUCGGCAAAGCAGCCCGCGCACGGACACCGCCUAGGCGGCACCCAGCCCAGGGGUGCGUGCCAGGCCACGCGCUGCGCCCGCAGCCGGCAAGGGCCGCCCGGGCUGACCACGCAUGCCGCAAUGACGUGGAUGGCUGGCACAGAUCCUGUGCAUAGCGAUGCAGGCGGCUCUGUCCAGCCAGCAGCCGCCGACACGCACCCACCCGUGCCGUUCGUGGCCCGCCGCCGCCGACAGCACAAAUGCAGUGCAUCCCCAGUCGCGGCUUGGGCGUGGGAUUGGUUGAAGGGGCGCCGUACCGCUUCCGAUAGUACCCAGAGCCUGUCAGGUCAUUUGGGGAUGCGCAGAGGGGCGGAGUGGACAGGACGCGUGCGGAGGUAUGCAUGCUUCGUGUGGGGGCCCUUGACGGCGGGCGGCUACUGCGGUGCGGUAUGGGCCGCUCCCGUGCCCUGGAGCCUGUGCGCUGUGCCUGCCCGGCUCUCAGUAGUGAGCCAGGCUAGAUGACAUGCUGUAACUGCGCUCGGGCCGCCAGGAAUCAACACGGCCGGGCCACACGGUGUCCGGGCGCCCGGCCACCCCACACGGCGCCGGGCCCACGGACGGGCCCAGCGUCCGCCCGGCGGCUGUAAAAAUGCCCAGCCAUGAUUCAUUCGGACGUGUGUCUAUAUGGGCUUUCUAGGAGCUCCCUGGCAGUGCACGGGGGGCAUAUCUGGCGCGCGAGUGGGCACGUCGACAUGUUUGCCGGGUCCGCAUUUCGUUAGGAUUCGGGCUACCCCCACUUCAAGGCAGCUUGUUCGCGGUCAUUGGGGACCACCUAUAUGAUAAUAAGCAAAUGGAGGAACCGACGCCAGGAAUGUGGCGACUUUUAGACCAAGCCUUUGCAGCUCGCGACCGGGCCGGCCGCGCGAGAAUUGCGAAAACAACUCCCGAGGCCUGACCCAAUGCAGCCCAACCAGUGCGACAUAUGGCUUACACAUAUGACUGUAUAUCUAAUGUUUCACAGCGCUCGCCAGCACCGCCACAAACGUGUGCCAGGUCGGGCCGUGGCACGGUGCCCGGCCAGUGCUCUGCGUGCAGUUCCUAGGCCGCCAUGCCCCUCUGGCGCAUACCGCUCCUACCCCCCGUCCUCCAUGCACCUCUGCAUACAUGCAUAGCAGUCGCCAGCAUCGCAACUCGGCAAAGCAGCCCGCGCACGGACACCGCCUAGGCGGCACCCAGCCCAGGGGUGCGUGCCAGGCCACGCGCUGCGCCCGCAGCCGGCAAGGGCCGCCCGGGCUGACCACGCAUGCCGCAAUGACGUGGAUGGCUGGCACAGAUCCUGUGCAUAGCGAUGCAGGCGGCUCUGUCCAGCCAGCAGCCGCCGACACGCACCCACCCGUGCCGUUCGUGGCCCGCCGCCGCCGACAGCACAAAUGCAGUGCAUCCCCAGUCGCGGCUUGGGCGUGGGAUUGGUUGAAGGGGCGCCGUACCGCUUCCGAUAGUACCCAGAGCCUGUCAGGUCAUUUGGGGAUGCGCAGAGGGGCGGAGUGGACAGGACGCGUGCGGAGGUAUGCAUGCUUCGUGUGGGGGCCCUUGACGGCGGGCGGCUUCUGCGGUGCGGUAUGGGCCGCUCCCGUGCCCUGGAGCCUGUGCGCUGUGCCUGCCCGGCUCUCAGUAGUGAGCCAGGCUAGAUGAUAUGCUGUAACUGCGCUCGGGCCGCCAGGAAUCAACACGGCCGGGCCACACGGUGUCCGGGCGCCCGGCCACCCCACACGGCGCAGGGCCCACGGACGGGCCCAGCGUCCGCCCGGCGGCUGUAAAAAUGCCCAGCCAUGAUUCAUUCGGACGUGUGUCUAUAUGGGCUUUCUAGGAGCUCCCUGUCAGUGCACGGGGGGCAUAUCUGGCGCGCGAGUGGGCACGUCGACAUGUUUGCCGGGUCCGCAUUUCGUUAGGAUUCGGGCUACCCCCACUUCAAGGCAGCUUGUUCGCGGUCAUAGUGGACCACCUAUAUGAUAAUAGGCAAAUGGAGGAACCGACGCCAGGAAAGUGGCGACUUUUAGACCAAGCCUUUGCAGCUCGCGACCGGGCCGGCCGCGCGAGAAUUGCGAAAACAACUCCUGAGGCCUGACCCAAUGCAGCCCAACCAGUGCGACAUAUGGCCUACACAUAUGACUGUAUAUCUAAUAUUUCACAGCGCUCGCCAGCACCGCCACAAACGUGUGCCAGGCCGGGCCGUGGCACGGUGCCCGGGCAGUGCUCUGCGUGCAGUUCCUAGGCCGCCAUGCCCCUCUGGCGCAUACCGCUCCUACCCCGCGCCCUCCAGGCACCUCUGCAUACAUGCAUAGCAGUCGCCAGCAUCGCAACUCGGCAAAGCAGCCCGCGCACGGACACCGCCUAGGCGGCACCCAGCCCAGGGGUGCGUGCCAGGCCACGCGCUGCGCCCGCAGCCGGCAAGGGCCGCCCAGGCUGACCACGCAUGCCGCAAUGACGUGGAUGGCUGGCACAGAUCCUGUGCAUAGCGAUGCAGGCGGCUCUGUCCAGCCAGCAGCCGCCGACACGCACCCACCCGUGCCGUUCGUGGCCCGCCGCCGCCGACAGCUCAAAUGCAGUGCAUCCCCAGUCGCGGCUUGGGCGUGGGAUUGGUUGAAGGGGCGCCGUACCGCUUCCGAUAGUACCCAGAGCCUGUCAGGUCAUUUGGGGAUGCGCAGAGGGGCGGAGUGGACAGGACGCGUGCGGAGGUAUGCAUGCUUCGUGUGGGGGCCCUUGACGGCGGGCGGCUUCUGCGGUGCGGUAUGGGCCGCUCCCGUGCCCUGGAGCCUGUGCGCUGUGCCUGCCCGGCUCUCAGUAGUGAGCCAGGCUAGAUGACAUGCUGUAACUGCGCUCGGGCCGCCAGGAAUCAACACGGCCGGGCCACACGGUGUCCGGGCGCCCGGCCACCCCACACGGCGCAGGGCCCACGGACGGGCCCAGCGUCCGCCCGGCGGCUGUAAAAAUGCCCAGCCAUGAUUCAUUCGGACGUGUGUCUAUAUGGGCUUUCUAGGAGCUCCCUGGCAGUGCACGGGGGGCAUAUCUGGCGCGCGAGUGGGCACGUCGACAUGUUUGCCGGGUCCGCAUUUCGUUAGGAUUCGGGCUACCCCCACUUCAAGGCAGCUUGUUCGCGGUCAUAGUGGACCACCUAUAUGAUAAUAGGCAAAUGGAGGAACCGACGCCAGGAAUGUGGCGACUUUUAGACCAAGCCUUUGCAGCUCGCGACCGGGCCGGCCGCGCGAGAAUUGCGAAAACAACUCCUGAGGCCUGACCCAAUGCAGCCCAACCAGUGCGACAUAUGGCCUACACAUAUGACUGUAUAUCUAAUAUUUCACAGCGCUCGCCAGCACCGCCACAAACGUGUGCCAGGCCGGGCCGUGGCACGGUGCCCGGGCAGUGCCCUACGUGCAGUUCCUAGGCCGCCAUGCCCCUCUGGCGCAUACCGCUCCUACCCCGCGCCCUCCAGGCACCUCUGCAUACAUGCAUAGCAGUCGCCAGCAUCGCAACUCGGCAAAGCAGCCCGCGCACGGACACCGCCUAGGCGGCACCCAGCCCAGGGGUGCGUGCCAGGCCACGCGCUGCGCCCGCAGCCGGCAGGGGCUGCAUGGGCUGGCCACACAUGCCGCAGUGACGUGGCUGGCUGGCACACAGCCUGCAACACGCCUCUAUAUGGGUUGAGAAGCCUGGACAAGGAUGUGGAGCAGCCACCGGGCUUCUGCCGCAGCCAACCACUUCAUCUGUGCGCCCCGUCCGAGCCACAAUGACAGACAUGGGUGCUACGCUUUCUGCAUGCACAUCCAAAACGAGACCCGUGAAGGCAUGCGCGCCUUCAAAUUUUGCACGUGCGUCUUUCCAGCCGUGCUCGUCCGCUGUCCAAUGCAUGAGCCGCCUACGAAAACCACACCAAAGAACACACACCGACACACGCACAUACACGCAAACCUCAUGGCCUCUAGGCACUUCCCGGUAACUUAUGUAUAGGUACAGCAUCAAACAUUUAUGUACAAUCGGCCGGCGGGCUCAUGUGCCGUUCGAUGUGGGCGGUCUUAUUUGUAGAGUCAGAUCAUACAUGACGCCCUCCCCAUGUGCGCUCCUGUUCGUUUACGGCCUUCUCGGCAGGACCACAAACGAGGAUAUCCGCAGGGAUUACCUUCAUACCACGUAAUCCGCACUUUAUGGCGUCAAAAGCGCAUCCACCUCAAGUAAGUUGCGAUUAGCUCAUCAAAGGCAGGUGGGUGUGGUCAUGGUGCUGUUACAUCGGUCGCUGCGGCACUGCCGGUCGCGGCCACACGCCUCGCCGCGCCGGAAGGCAGUACGACACGAGUACAGCAGGUCGGGGCGCAGCGGGUUGACGCUGGGGCCAGAGAGCGGCGCCUCACAGAAGGUGCCGCUGACGCAGUGGUUGUCUGCACGCAUCAGCAGAACGAGCAUGGCAGCACGAAUGGUUUACAAUUACACGUGGUUGUGGGAGGUUGAUUGAAGUGCAAGCUUAGCGGUUGAUCCUGGACUCCGGACCAGAAACCCCAACUAAAUGCACGCACACGCAGUCACGCACCUUCAUCGCAUUGCCGACAGACGCCCGUCACGCAGUGCCCGCUGGAGCAAUCCCUGCAAGCGAGCACGUGACGCCAAUAGACAUAGCUAAUAAGUGGGCGCAGGCAGCACGUCAACCACACCAAACCCGACGCGCAGGACACGUACGCGCGCGGCCGCAGCCCCUUUCCUACUGAUAAUACAGCAGAGAACAAAUCCCACCCUGUGCCCCGCAUCCCGGCCAACCGCCCGACCGCUUCAAGGCACCCAUCUACCUGUCUAGGUCGCACGCCCGGCCGUUAGGCACGGCGAUGUGGCAGGCGGAGGGCGAGUCGGAUCGGAAGUUGUCGCAGAAGGCCACAGGGUAGCCCAGCGCCGCGCAGUCCGAGUCCUCGAAGCAGCCUGUCGCGAGCAGACACACACACACGACGUUACAACCGUUUCUGGGACUGUACAGACUGGGCAUCGUGAAGCGCGGCUGCUGGUGGGCCGGCCCCCGCGGCCCCAGAUGCAUGGGGCCAUGCAUGCGUGGCAGUAUGUCGGUUUGUGCCUGUUGCGUGGUCAAGCCGGCGGCUUGGCCCCUCACCGAGGCAGUGCAUGCUGUAGGUGUCAUUGGUGCCCUUGGUCGGCCUGGUGGCGGUUGGAAAGAGCAGGAGUUUGGGAAGACGAUAAGGCGGAGUGCGGAGACAGGGGAGGUACGCACAGCGAUUUUAAUUUCUUGAGGAAGGAAUGUGAUGGUGCAACGGGACCGCGGGUCUCAUCCUAUACACUCGUACGGCAGGUCCGUUGGCUUGCACUAGCCCCAUUGAACCACAGCAGCCGUAGCUCGUCGCUCAAAUGCAGAUUAAACAUUUUUGAUGCGGCACUCACUUGUCAGACGCCUGGCAGUUUGGCACCAUAUUGCAGCUUUGCGACGCUUUCUGCACAGGUGGUGGGCAAUGCAGUGCAGCAUUGAACGUGUGAGCGGGUUGUGGUGAACCCUUCCCACCUCUCUGCAACCGCCCCCAGCCCUUUCAACGCCCCCUCCUUCAGACACCGCAUGUCUAGAUCAUGAUGUUUCACGUGGCCACAACCGCACGCACGGUUUCGCUUUGUCCCUUUGACUUCCCAAAUUAACACACGCGAGCGCACCAGGAUACAAGGAGUUCCAAUGCGGGCUUGCAGGAUGUCAUACGCCGCCGAGGGCAGGAAGAGAGCCGUGUUGCUGGGGGCCCAAGACUCGGGCCCAAUCUGUGAGAGAUGGAGAGGUGCAGAUGGUGUUGACGCACGUUAAGUAAUUGAGUCGGGGACACAUGGUUUUGGGUGGCGGGUACAAGCUUUCACUGCCAUGGCCGCAGCCAGGCAAUUCAUAAACUCACAGCUGCCUUGGGACCUCUGUCCUGCGGGUUCCCUUCCUUUGCAUUCCCUCACACGUAGCACAUGAGUAAAUCUUAACCUUGCUACCGGUAUCCUGGCACAGCCUACCUGGCAGUUGACCGCCAAGCUGGAGUGAGCGUCCUGGCUGGCGUUGUACGGCGCCACCUGGAAGCACCGGCCCGUGUGGUGCGUGCGGUGAGUGAAGGCGUGUACGGAGUGAGUAGAGGCAGGCCUCUCCAGGGGUGGCGCGUGCGCAUGUGGCAUGGCCAACUACUCGAACCCAGCUUGGACCCAACUCGAACCCAGCUCACAGCGACGACGUUACUUGCACCAACGGACGCAAGUCACGCAACAGCAUAUCACAACAACACGCAACAACACACAACAACACACAACUUACCAGCAUGUUGGGACAGAACAUGACGGUGUUGCCCACAUCGCGCAGGCCCGCGGACAGGGGCGGCACCGGGAAGUAGUCCCUGCGUCGUUGGCAGUUUGGAGACCGGGCGGAGGGAGGGAGGAGCAGGCGGUAAGGGGAAAGCGGGAAAGCGGGUGGAAGGAGUUCUGGUUCCGAGCCAGAUGAGGCUGCGGCGACCUUAACUGCUCUCCUGCUGCAUCAUGAAACGCCUGAUGGUUUCAGGGAACCCUGCUUCGGCACAACCCGUUGAAACCCCCAAACAGGUAACUAGGCACCCGUACACACCUGGCAAUCCUGUAGUGCAGCGUCCUGGGCCCAAGUAGGUUGUUGUAGCCGUUACGCCACACGUCAUUGCCCACACGCGGCGCAUUGAACAGGUACACGCCGCCCAUGAAGGGCCCGCGCACUCCAAGGGCCGUGAUCAGACGCAGCGCGGCAAUCGCUGCCACGCCAGCGCCUGUGUGCACAGCAUUUUACAAACACACACACACACUUAUGCAUUAUCCAUACCGUAUGCCGGUGCAUGGCUUGAGUUGGUAGGAAAGAUCUGGGCUGGUCAGCGUGCUUCCAGCUGCUGAUGUGUGUGUGCCAUGUGCAGGCGGAGUUGGUGACAGCAGUCCGUAAGCGGCACCGCCCCAAUGAGUUGCACGUACUAGGGUGUUCAUCACAUCCCCCUACCACAGGCCCUUCUCCCCUCUCCCUCCUUCCUCUCCCCCGCCUCCGCCCACGUUGCCGCUCUCUUACCCAUGCCGUGUCCCGCCACGUAGAUGCGCGAGGUGUUGCCGCCGCCUGCCGCCGCCCCCGCCGGCUUGACGCCCACCUCCGUGUAGGCCUUCCGCACCGCCCGCAAUAGGUCCACGUCGGUGGCGCUGAAUGCCGCUUUCAUGUCCACCUGAAGCCGCGUGUCCAUGGUAAACCACUCUGCAAGCGCGCAUACAUACCGUAUACAUACGUGUACGAGGGGUAUUGUCAUGUGGCUGAGUGCUGUUGGAUAAGGAGGUGGGCGACGGGCCGCAAUAACCACGUGGUGAUAGAUCGGGAGAGGUUUGAUUGGGGUGUGAGGAUUGCGCAGGCACAGACGCUAGCGCGCUCACACACGCAUACGCAUGUACCCUACAUGCAGAAACACUCGCAUGAUUCAUCUUACGUCGCCACACAGGGUUCAGUUCGCGCUACCAAGCGACUCACCUCCGGCACUUUCGGUCUGGGCGCUGAGGGGGGCGAGCCACGAGGCUGCACAGGAAUGAGUGGGGGUGCAAGGUCUCGAUCGCGACGGGGCCCAAUCAAACCAAGCCGGAAAGAGCACCGGACCAGAUAUAGCAGGGACAUAGGUACAGCAGCCAUGGGGCAACUGCACCCAUGAAGAGCACACGGGAGUGGCACGUGCUGGCUGGCUGAAACAGCCCCAGUCUCGUAGCGACCAUCCCCAAGCACAAUUCCCAGGCGGCGCUCACCCCGGUUUUCGUCCCCUCGCAGCAGCACGAACACGUCCGUAGCUGUGCGCAUCACAAUGGUUGUGUACGUCACCGCCGGGGUCGUGCUGCCCUGCUGCGCCGGCUUCACCCGGUAGUUCUUGACGACGGGCGGGGCCACGAUGCCCCACCUCUGUUAUCGAUUGGCAUGGGGGCAAGUGCGUGAGGUGUUGUAGUGAGGACAAGGGCAGUAUUGUAGUGAACAGCCUAGUGAACAACCUAGACGCCGCAGUACCGCCAGUAUUGUCAAACGCCAGAAAUCCUGCUGGCCUGUUCAUGGAUAAAGAUGACUGAACAUCGAUCUGCACAAACCCACGCACAAAGGUGCACACAUGCCGACACACACCCGCGCACAUGCGCCCGGGCCUGGACAGACGGCAGGGCCCAGCAGGAUACCCAUCCCCACCUAUCCUCACGCGCCCCCACCCCCAACCCCUGCCCCAACCCCAACCCCACCCCCCCACCCCAACCCCCCACCCCAAUCCCAUCUACAAGCCCAACCCCAACCCCAACCCGCACCCCUAACCCCGCCUCUACCUGUGCUCCGCUCAUUUUAGCUUGUUGAGUUUGGGCUGAUAUUUACAACCCACCCCAACCCCAUCCCAAUCCCCAACCCCUCACGCAUGCACGCACGCACGCACCUGCAUGCAGGCUGUGAAAGCCUUGUCGGGCGUCUUCGGAGACAGACCCCAAAACCUGUGUGCCAGAAAGAAGGGAAUGUUAUGAAGGAGCCCCUGGAUUAUAUCAUCAAGUAAAUGGCGGGUAAGGGUACGGCCAUUGACGGUUGGCACAUUUUUGAAAACAAGGCGGGAACCGGCAAUGUAUGGUUGCGCGCGCGCGGCACCGAUCCAACUGUUUGCAGAAUGUCCCUUAUUGGCACUCGGUGCGUGCGUGCCGCCGACGUUGCUCACCAGUCGUAUGACGCGGCGGUCAGAAAUGCAAACAGCGUGUUUUGCGGUUGGCUCGGGUAUGGCACAUUCCCGGAGCGGUUGAAACCACCGGCGGCGGUUAGGAAGCCGCCCUUGCACUCGCCGGGCCGAAGGGCUGCAGGCGCGUUUAAGUGCGGUUGCACAUUUCCGACCAGGUUGCAUGCGAGUGCCGAUCCAGCAGGACAAAUUCAGAAAGCAGACGAACAUUGGCUGAAGCAGAUUGCGGCUGUGUGGCUCGAGGCUGGACGCCCUCACCGCCGCUCCUUCCCUGCAGCCGCUGACCCUCUUGCCAUGAACAUCCUACGGCUACUCAUCUCAACCCUGCCUAGCUAGGAUAGCUCACCAACGCACGUCUUCAGGUCGUCGUCCCAGAACUGUUGAAGACGCGUGCCCCCGUUACUCGACGCAGGGAGAUCCGGGCACACGCAGAUGCCCGUGUCGCACGUCUGUAGGACAUACGGUAGGGCAUGUCGCAUAAGCGCACACAGGUGUUUGUUAUCGACAGCAACUCGCCGGUGUGCAGCUUCGAGGCUUUGCAUCGUAAAGCACAUGCGAACCCAUGCCAACCCUUUGACCGAGAGCUGCAUCCUACGCUUUCAUGUGCGCUCCCUCGCAAUUCCGCACCUGUCCGGUACCGCACACUGUGCCGCAGCCGCCGCAGUUGCGCUCAUCGCGUUGGAAGCUGGCAACAGCGACGCAUCCCGCGCCGCACCGCACCUGUUUAAAAUCAUGCAAUUUGUGUGUGGAUUACCCCAAGUCAGCCAGCGCAGCGGAUGGGGUGGCCAUCCUGGCUCUCAGGCAUCCUGGCCUCGUGCCCCGUGUACCGUAUGCACCUUCAAUAGGCACCCUCUCCUGUGACAUGUUGAGCCCCCCCGCAAUAGUCUGCCACCGCCCAGACCGCUCUAGGUCCAUCGGUAAAGGUGCACCUCAGCAUUGUGUCCACAACUUGCCUUGCCCUUGGGGCAGACGCACUUGCCGUUGCGGCACUUGGCGCCACCUGUGCACUUGUUGUUACAGGCUCCGCAAUGCAUGUCAUUGUCCUUCGACAGGUUCACACAGCCGUCGUUUGCCUGUGCAAUGAGUGCGUUCAUAUAAGCAUCUAGGGUCAUAUUGUUUGGGCAAACACUUUGAUUGCGGUGAGCACAGGUCUUGAACGAGCGGCCCCUGGUCAUCGUGCGGCACGCAGGAAGUUCGCAGCACGCCACGCAAGCUGCCACCAACCGACUGAUAGUCCACCGAGCUUCUACCCAGGCGCCGGCCAAAACGCAUGCCGGAUACUUACUCCGCAAUAGGUGGUGCCAGAGCGGCACUGGCACGUCUUGUUAACGCACACCAAGCCGUCGCCUUCUUUGCAGGGGCAUGGCCCCGCUGUGAAUGGGGUCGGCGAAGGCGUCGCGACCCCCACGGCCGAAGUAGAUUGUUUAAGCGAUCGUGUUGAUUGUGUUGCCGAAGCUCGCGAUACUACCAGCGCGAGCGCGCAUACAAGGGCAGUUGAAACGCAAAACGGGCCAACUCUACGUGAAGCCGUCAUUUCCGAAUACGAAUGGCGCAUGUAUGUACCCUUAUCAACGAGUAAGUAUGAAGUUGCGCAGAGUCAAUGACGCGCUGGGGGCCGCGGCGCGUUACGCGGAGAGAACUGGAGAGAAGCUCCCGGCGAAAAGCGAAAUCUGAACAUGUACGUGUUGCGUUUUGUGGCAUGUUAUGUUCGUUGCAAUUCAAUUGCCAAUCCUGAAUCAGGGCUGCAGAUACGCGCCGCGGCGCCGGUCACGACGCCAAAACCGUGUCGGCGCGCCCGCCCCUGCCCGCCCGCCCCUGCCUGCGCCCGCCGUGGCAUGCCCACCGAAACUGCCUCCGCUGUCGAGACAGGCCGCCCCUGCUGAAGCUCACUGAAGUUAGGGGGACCCUGCGCUGACGCUUGCUCAUCCGCAACAUGACAUCCUGAGUCUUAUAAGAUACUCAGGGUAGCUGAGCACGAACCAGCCCAAAAGCUUCUGACAUACGGUACGCCCACUGGCUGCGAAGCUGUUUCUGGGAAUCAGUGCUGCGCAACCGAGCCGAGAACGUAGCACUCACGCGCGUCGUACGGCCCGCUAGCCUUUUACACGGCUUCCAUUGCAGUGCUCCAAGCAAGAUUCACACAAUACGAUAUGGCCAUGGCCCUUGCCACGCCGUUUGUCAGAGUUGCAUCCUGCAGUCGGCUUGUGGUAAAAUGCGAUGUCCAGUCAGGAAGGUGGCUGUGCCGUCAUGCAUUCUUCUUCAACAAUAUUAUCAUCUCGGUCCAGCAUCCGUGACUCCGUGGCCCCGUCCAAGCUGUCCGCCUGUCCCGCACCGCACAACGUGCAACUCCAUACCGCAACAUGCACAUACGUGCGCUUCCCAUUCCACCCACUACAAAAAUCGGCUACCGCUGCUCGCCGCGCCUCCACCGCCCUUGCCACUGGCAGUAGCUGCAGCACUGAGGUCAGACAGGCUCAACGACAUCCCCAGAGGCGGCGGCACGUCUCCGGCUGUGGCCGGCACUGACAUCACUGCCGACCUGCCCACCGCGGGCUGCUGCUGAGCCGCCACACCAUCGCGUUGCGCACCACCGCCACCGCCACCCCCACCGCCUGAGCUGCUGCCCUCGCCUCGUCCGCUCCCCCUGGCAGUAGCAGGCGCGGCGGGCAGCCGCGGCACAGGCAGCCCCGCCGCCCGCAGCUGCUCAUCCAGACUGCUUCUCAGCUGUGCCACCAUGGCCACCGUCGCCGUCGUGGAGGCGGGCCUUGAAGCCGGCCCCGCCCCCGCCCCCGCCCCGGCAGCCGCAGCCGCGGUCUCGUGCUGGCUAUGCCAUGCUGACGGCGGCGCCCCGCCACUCCGCCUCACUCCAAUAAUGGCCUGCUGCUGCUGCUGCUGCUGCAUGGUGCCGCCAGCCGCCGGCCCGGCCGCCGCUGACGUGGCCCCUGUCGCCAGCCGCUCGCUCCUGAGCUCCGCCAGCCGGGCCUCAUGGCUGGCCGCCACGCCGGCGUGCCGCGCCGCCUCCGCCUCCUGCGCCAGGCUGCGGUGCCGGUGCUCCCGGCUGGACAGCAGCGCCCGACCCAACAGGCUGUCCAGCACACCACCGCCACCGCCACCAGCAGCACCAGCACCAGCAGCAGCACCGCCACCAGCACCAGCAGCAGCACCAGCACCAACACCAACAGCACCAGCACCAGCAGCACCAGCAGCACCAGCCGCGUGGCCGCCGCCGCUGCUGGCGCCAGUAGCAGCGCCGCCGCCUCCGUAGCUGCGGGUCCCGGCCGGGGCCGCCGCCUGGUGGCUGCGAGAGGCGAACCCGCCAGCUCCGUCGCCACUACUGGCGCGUGUCGUGCGGCUGCUGUAGUAGCUAGUGCCGGCAGCCACCCCCGCCCCAGCGCCAGCGCCGCCGCCACCAGAGAAGCUAGCAGGCAGCAGCGCGCUUGUGGACGCACUGGCUAAACCGGCUCGCCCGACGGCACCUCCGCUGGCCACGCACCCCGCGGAUGGCCGCGGUGCUUGUGCUGCCAGCCGCUCAAGCCCCGACGCCGCCGAAGCUGCGAGUGGGCCACGACGACCUCCGCCCGCGGGUCCAGCACCCCCUGCUGACGCGCCCCCGUUGCCGCGGCCCCCGCCGCGCCCUCCGUACAUUUCUGACGUACGGCCUGUGCCUCCCCCCGUGCCGCUCACAAAGCUGUCCUCCUCCAGAGUGGGCGAUGCGCAUCGCUCGGGCGGCGGCGGUUGCGGCAACGGCCAACCGUCGGUUGCGCAGGAGGCACCGUUGCCGCCGUUGCUGGCCGGGCCGAAGCCGCCCGCGCCACGCUGACCUCGUUGACUGGCGAAGGAGGCGGAGGAGGGCUGCGCAUCCACCCACGAGUCCCGCGCCGACGCUAGCUGUACGUGGUCGUCGUCGUAACCGUAUGGGUAACCGUUACCGUACGCGUCGUCGUACCCAGCAGUUGAGGCAGCUGCGGCGGGCGCGCGGUGGUUGUUGUGCAGCGGCAGCGCGGGCUGCAGGCCGCCAAAGCCACUGGGAGCCCCCGCCCCCGCCUUGCCGCCGCCACCGCCGCCACCGUUUGACUGCUGCUGCUGUUGCUGCUGGGCGUUGGUCCGGUCACCCAGGGGCCCUGUUGCCACUGCUGCUGCCUGCCUUUGCACCUGCGCCGCAUGUUGUUGCUGCUGCUGGUGCUGCUGUUGGUAUUGCUGGUACUCUUGGUGCUGGUGGUGGUGUUGCAGGACGGCUGUGGCCGCCGCCACCUGCGCCAUCGCAUCCGCCGCCAGCUGGUCGCGCAGCGCCGCCGCCGCAGCCGCCGUUUCCGCACCCAUCACCGCCGCCACCCGCCGCAACUCGCCCUGGUGCGCGUCCCGCAGCGCAACCGCCGCCGCCGCCAACCGCUCCUUGUACGAGGCGUCGUACGUUUCCGUUAGCUCAGCCACCUCGGCGGCGUGCUGCCGCCGUACGGCGGUUAGCUUGGCCUCGUGCUGCGCGCCCGCCGCCGCCAACGCUGCCGCCAGCCGCUGCAGCUCGGCCUGCUGUCGACAGAGCGCAUCCUCCAGCGCAGCGAUCUGAAGCAGCAAUGGAGUGGGACAGGCCGUAAACGCACGUCAGCCCUCCGCGCAUCCAUCUCGAUGCCGGUACGGCAUCAGCGGCUCUUGCCUCUGCCGGAUACUCUGAGCAUCGUCGCGCACCCCAAUCGACCAGCCGCCGAGCCCUCGAUUCCAGGUUUGCCACACCCCGGCCCCUUUGCCCCUGUCCCCCAUGCGUCUUCCUGCUUGGUGACCCAACCGGCCCUCGUCCCUACCCCUCCUCCUGCCCCCACCUUAUCCUCCUGGUCCUCCUGCGCUUGUCGAUGCGCCUGCAGCCGCUGCAGCCGCUCCACCUGAGCCUCCAUCCACUCCGCCGAGCGCCUCAACGCGUCCGCCUCCUCUGCCGUGCGCUUCAGCUGCUGCCGGUGGCUCCGCCCCUGCUCCUGCUCCUGCUGCUCCCGCUCCUGCGUUGAAUGCUGCUCCUGACCCUGGGCAUGGUGCGCCUGCUGCGUCUGCUGAAGCUGCUGCGCCUCCUCCUCCUGGGCUGCCUGCGCUUCCGCUUCAGCCGCGUCGCAGGCGCUCAGCUGCAGCAGCUGCGACUCCAGCUCCCGCACCGCCUCCCGCAGUGCCUCGGCCUCAGACCGCAGGUCCUGUGGUCAUGGCAGAUACAAAUACAUCUAUGAAACGACUAACGGACAGAUACGCCGUAAACGCGUUUGCGUUUGCGCCCUCUACAGCAUCCCUCUUCUAUUGCCCACCAGAACGACUGACUGUGUGUAACUUGGACACACCUGGAAUCACACCCGGGCCCUCGGGACUGACCCCAAACCGCACCUGCAUCUCCUCCUCCCGCUUCGCCGCGGCAGCCUCCACCUCCGCCACAGCCAUCGCCAACCGCGCCUCCGCCGCGCCCUGCGCCGCGGCUACCGCCGCCUCCAGCUCCGCUGCGUGCCGCGCCGCCGCCGCCGCCAGCCGCUCCUGCAGCGCCGCCACCUCCGCCGCGUGCCGCCCUAACAGCGACGACAGCUCCUCCGCAUGCGCCGCCUGCAGCGCCUCUCGCAGCCGUUGCAACUCAGCCUGCGCCGCCUCGCCGCCAGCCUUCCCAACGUCACUGCCACCCCCUCCUCCCGGCAGGCCCACACCACCCGCCUCCGCGGUGACGGCCGCGGCGGCCGCGGCGGCUGUCGCCUCUGCUGCCGCCUUUGCUGCCGCCUCCUGCGCAUGCGCUGACAGGUGGGCCCGCAGGGACUCCACCGCCGCCGCGUGCUCAGCCUGGAGUGCCGCCCGCAGCCCCUCCAGCUCCGCUGCAUGCUGGGCCUCAAGCCGCUGACGCAAGGCCGCCAGCGCGCCCGCCAUUCUCUCCUCCUGCUCCUCCGCUUCCGCCUCCUGACGCCCAACAGCAGCCCCUGCAGAGGCCUCGGCGGCGGCGGCGGCUGUAGCCUGCUGCACAGCUGCAGCCGCAGUAGCCUCCGCUACAGCCAGGUCCCGUAGCUCCUGCAGCUGUAACUGCCACUGCCGCCGCUCCUCCGCAUGCGCCGCCUCCAGCUCCCUCCGGAGCGCCGCCAGCGCCGCCGCCUUCUCGUCUUCCAGCCGCGCCGCCAGCUGCGCCUCCGCUGCCGCCGCCUCCGCCGCCAGCUGCUGCCGCAGUGCCGCCAGCUGCCGCCCGGUGGAGGCGGCGGCCGCGGCGUGGGCGUCCAUCACCGCCGCCGCCACGUCAGCCUCCGCGUCGCCCCGAGCCUGCACCACCGCCCACACCAAGAAGGGUGCCCAGAAUCGAGCUCACUCAGUCGGCCAUGCCCACUGCACGCAACCCUGCGCCCCGGUGGCGGCUACACACCCACAGCCAACCUCACCAGCAACCAGACCGCACGAUCCCGUAAUCCCCUACUCGGCGCUCUGUUGCACACGCACACGCGUUUCGACAAGAACAGUCGCACCUGCGCCAGCUGCUCUGCCAGCCGCUCCGCCCGCUCCCGCGCUGCCUCCAGCUGCUCUCCCGCCUCGUCCGCGGCCCGCUGCAGCUUUGCCACACGGUCGUCCACAUCACACUGCGCGUGUCAAAAUGUCAACAUGCGAAGCUGCAAUGUCAACGCGAGAAUGUGACGUCUCUUGGCCUAGCCCUUGACCUAGCUUUUGGCCUAGCCCUCGGCCACUCUUGCACGUUCCAACGAUACGGUAUCCCCGCCCCUUCCGCCCACGCUCCCUACCUGUGCCGCCUCCAGCCGCCCCCGUAGCGCCUCCGCCUCCGCCUGCAGCGCCGCAUGCGCCGCCGACAGCGCCUCAUAGCGGCCCGCGGCCGACGCAGCCGCAGCGGCCAGAGCCUCGUCGGCCUGUCCGGCGCGGCAGGGGAAACGGCAUGUAGAGCGUGUGGCUGUGCACGCAUGGUUGCCGUGCUUCACGUGACCGCUGUCGGUCGGCGCUGUGAAGAGCAAUGGGUUGGUGCUGUGACACGCGCGUAUGCCCUGCCGUGCUGUGUGCCUGGUUUGUGCCCCCGCAUCAGGCCUGUGCUCACCUGGCGCCGGGCCGCCUCGCGCACCUCCGCCAACGCCGACCGCACGUCUUCCACUGCAAUGUAGCGCCGCGGGUCUGUGGCAGCAGAGCAAAGGCAAACGACAGCCGCUCAUUGCUCUGCCCUGACAGCAACAGCCACUGGAAGGCAAACACACGGCAUCCAAGCCACCCCCUCAAACAAGGAAGGCAUCCAAGCUGCGUAACCAGAAAACGCGCACCUUUGGCGGCCGCCAACUUGGCAUUCAACUCCUUCAGACGCUCGAUCUCCUCGCGCGCCGCCCCCAGCAGCGCGCCCGUCGCGGCGGCUGUAGCAGCUGCCGCCGCCGCUGUGGCGGCAGUAGCAGAGCCGGGCAUGUGCUCAUCCGUCUGCGCCGCCGACUCGGCUGUAGCAGCCCGGCGCGCCUCAAGCCCGCCGUUACCCCGGCCAAAGCCGCCCGCUGCUUGGCCCGGAGGCGAGCCCAGGCCCGAAGGCCCGCGGGAACCAGAGGCCGCCGCCGCUGCAGCUACGGCUGCGCCCGGCUGCUGUCGUUCGUGUGUGGCCCCAUGCUCGUCAUCACGCCCGACCAUCUGCGCCCUCAGCUCAAUAACCCCCUCGCCACCCUGGUCAUCGUCAUCGUCGCUGAACAGCGCAUGCGCCAGCGACCGGGCGGCGUCAGGUCCCAGCGGUGUCCCGCCGGCCUCUGCCUCCUCGCCGCCGUCACCAUCGCCGCCCUCCGUGCCUUCAUCGUCACUGCCGCGGCUCCAGCCCACGUCCCCGCCCGUGCUUUCCCCCGUGUGGCGGCGGCUGGCGCCGCCUUGAGGCGCCGCGCCGCUGGGAGUGGCCACUGCGCCAAAGUCACUGAAGGCGCUCUGUGAGGGCUCGGCGCUGCACCCGCCAAAGCCGCCUCCGGCCUCCAACCCGCCGCCGUCACAGUGCCCGCCGACGUCCACCUGCAGACCCCGCCCGGCCCCUCUCGCAAAGCCGCCAACGCCGUUGCCUUCACGGGGCCUCGCGCCACCGCCGUGCUGCUGGCCGUCCUGGCUGUAGCACUGCCCACCGCCGUGGCUGUAGCAGACGGGGCCGCUGCCGCCGCCGCCGCUGUGCGCCGCCGCCAGCUGCUCCUGCAGUGCCGAUACCAGCCGCUGCAGCCCCUCACAGCGGUCCUGCUCCUGCCCCAGCCGCUCUUCCAGGCACUGCACACUCCGCACAAGCUCCGCCACCCUCGCCGGCCAGCCCAGCCGCCCCUGCUGCUGCGGCGGCCCCUGCUGCUGCUGCUGCGGUGGCUCUGCUCCGUCACUGCGACCGCAGGUGCUGCAGGCGCCUGUGCCGUUGCUACUGCCGCCCUCGCCGCUUGCGCUGGUGCUACUGCCGAAGCCGAAACCGCUGCCACCUGGGGUUGACGCCGCGCUCAGGGCCCCAAUGCUGGCUGCGCCAGUGCUGGAAGCAGCCUGGGUUGCGGCCACCGGGGCCACCUGGGCAGACGCGAAGGUGCCGCUGCCGGCGCCAAAGCCGGGACCGCCGGCUGCUGCAGCUGCCUCGCCGUGCUGCUGCUUGAGCUGUAGCAGUUCCUGCAAGUACGACACCUGCACAUGGGAGAAAGUGCCAGCACGUAGUCCAAGGUCAGUCACAAGCCACAUAGUCAGCGCAUGCAUCACCGGUCAGUGCACACGCCGGUACACGUCCCUGCCCAAUGUCUGUGUGCAUGUACGAUGUCGCAAGGACACAAGAACACUGCGAUGGGCUCUGUUGGCACCGUGGUUCGGUCUGCAUUCACCACCAGUCACUACCCCACCUGGUGCGCUGCCGUCCGUGCCUCCGUCCGUGCCGUCGCGGCCUCCUCCUGCAGGCGUCGCCGCUCCUCCGACGCGUCAGCCUGCAGGAGCACAUGACAAAUGGAGCUUGGUGGUGCCACUUUGCAGCCGUUGCAACACGACUGGCUCAGCAUAAGGCAAGCACGCGGCACCGAAGCCCGACCACUCGGCGCCGCCAAAAAAUAUGUAGUACACCCGUGGAUGUUCGGACCCCAACACCCAGACACCUUGCACAAUACGUAACCUUUCUCUCGCCAACACGCGCCAGCGUGCACGCACGCACACAAACCCACACAUACACACCUGCACUCGGCGAAGCUCCGCAUGCAGCCGCAGAAGCGCCUGGCCCCCGCCACCGCCAGCCGCCACCUCCAACUGCAUUUUUAACCCGUACGGCCGUGUCAGGCAACCGGCAGUGCCAGCAGCUUGGUGGCCAUUUACCGGCGCAGCCCCCCAAGUCUGUAUGCAAACUACUGGUCUUAACCUCUCCUAGACUCCAGCGCCAGCCCUUCGCCCACACGGCAUCUGGACCUCCCGCCCGCCCUCAGACUUGCACUUACGUCCACGUGCUCCUCCAGCGCGGCCUGCAAGCACUCAUUCGCCGCCGCCAGCUCCCGCCCGUCAACCUCCACCGCCGCCAGCGCUGCCGCCAGCCGCCCCCGCGCCGCCUCCGCCUCGACAGCUGCCGCUUGAGCUGCUGCCGCCGCCUCCUGCUGCCGCGCCGCCGCCGCCUCUGCGUUUGCCAGCUUCGCCUCAGCUGCCUCGGCACGCUUCGUGACCACAUCAAGUUGAGCAUGCAGAGCCGCUGCUUCAGACGCAGCCGCCUGCUGGACCUGUCGUUGUUGUACGGUUGUCACAUUGGGCAUGGUAAUGCAUAGGUUCAAUUGGAGUUACAGGGGUCACCUCCCGUGACUCCAUGCCUCAUCCGCACUUGACAGGGAACGGUGCGUGCGCCGGUACGCUUGUACAUACGCGCUGCUCAGCCUGCUUGUUUGCGGUGCUCCCACUCCAAUUGCUGGCCCGGCGAUACGGCGUGUGCGGCGACGGGCCAGCAGCCUCUUUCCGGCUUUGGCCCAACCCCCAGUCCCAUCCCUCCAGCUUGACAACUUGCGGCCCACACGCACCUGCUGCAGCUGCGCCUGCAGCUCCUCACCACCGCGGCCGCGGGCAGUGGCCAUCAGCCGUGCAGCGCCCAGCUCGGCUGUAGAAGAGAGGAGAGGUGAAGGGAUCAGCGCCGCUCAGCCCAAGGCCAAGAUCUCAACCCUGGAAGGCCUUUUGCCUCAACAUACUGUUGACAACGGGAUAUGCAUGCCAAACCCACACGCAGCUUGCAGUCGUCCCUCAGUGGAGGACGGAGUCCCCUCAGGUGCCCGCUCGCAUCCAAAGCUCCUUACAUGCCAGCCGCUCCCGCUCCGCCGCCGCCGCCUCCAGCGCCGCCGUCGCGUCCCGCUCCGCCGCCGCCAGCCGCCCGGCCAGCGUGGUCACUUCUUGCUGAAGCAGCCCAAUCUGGGAGAGGGCGCAGCGAGAGCAGAUAGAGUAGGAGGGGUGAAGACGUCGACGUUGUAGGUUGCACCGGGGGUACGGGAAGGCUCCUGGCCAGCCCGAUACAAUGUCGACACAUGAGCCACGGCCAGCUACAUGAAGAGCAGCGCAGCGUUCUUCGCUGUCUGGUCCGUGUUUUGUGUGAGUAGCGCUGCCCGCUGCCCUGGCUUUCGCACCUGUCCCAGUCUCGCCGUAAGGUCCGACUGCAGCUCCGCCACCACCGAGCCCUGUCAUGAUAUGGAGCGGCAGGUGCAGAGGCGGCUUGGGCGACAGGCUGCUGAGCGCAAGUGCUGAAGAGUGGAUAUGCGUACGCACGUCGAGCACGAGAUGUACGCUGCGGCCCUUCCCUUGCUCGCUCAACCUUUGCCCAGACCUUGUGCAGGCCCCGAGGCCCGCCAAGCAGAGUCCGCGUCCCCAUCCCUACACCUCUACAGCCACCCCGCCCGCCACCAUUACCACCAGAGGCAGCCCCCACCUGUGCCAGCGCCAGCCGGCCCUGCAGGUUGCCCCCUAGCAGCGCCACAUCCCGCCUCAGCGCCUCCACCUCCGCGCCCAGUCCCCAGUUGUCGCGCUGCAGCGCAGCCACGUGCGCCGUGGUGUCCUCCGCCUGUGCGAUCAGGUGCCACGUGUGAGCGUGUGGGUUCGCGUGGUGUCAGUCGCAUUUGCGAUGGAGCAGGUUGGUUCGGGCGAGUGGAAAGGGCUGGCACUGCGUUGCGGGUGACUUGGGGCUGUGAACUCCGGGCGCAACACGCGAAGCGGCAUACACACCUACCCCAGCCCGCCCGAAUGUACCACACCUGCUGCGCCGCCCCCGCGGCCCGCCGCUGCGCGGCGUCCAACGCCUCCCGGAGCUCCGAGUACUUGCGCUGAAGGCGCUCGAAGUCAGUGCUGGGCGGCAGCGUCUGCCAUCCUAGGUGAGUGCCGUGCUCGGAGCCGCUUGCACCGCUUGCCGCGCAGGUCGGUGAUGGUCCCAUCGCUGGAUGCGCAUCCUGUCCCUGGUAUCCGCUGCUCGCAAAGCUGUGUUCAGACGCUGCUUGCGGUGGGAGAGUCUCUGUUAAUCGAUGCACGAUUUUCGCGUCACCAGCAUCGCCAGCCCAGCGGUGACCACCCCACGGCGAGGGCGUUGAGUUCGCCGGCAUUCUGUAGGCUUGAAUUUCUGGUGGUUGCUCAGUGCCCGCGCGUGCCGAGCUGGGUUCGGCUGUCACCAGCCUCGGCUGUCCAAAGGCAGAUGGCCUGAACGUCCAGCCAAGGCUUGACGCAGGUGGGAGCUCCAUAUUCAAAUCCGUUAACGGCUAGACCGCAAAAGAGCAGGAGUUGGGUCUGCGUCGCGGCAUUUUGACUGCGGCUCACAACCUCGCUAUACGUCAGCUUUAGGAGGAAAUUACAUAUAGUGUGCUAAAUUGGUAUAUGCAGCAAUUUGAUAAGAUUGCGAGAGCGCCGGGCAGGUGGGCAGGUGGCGAUCGGUUCGGUGGCACCGUCGUCGUUUGGUUCAGUUUGGUUCAGUCCCUUGGUCGGGGUCUUGGGGACAGGUGAACAUCCAUGCGCGUCAGGUAUGGAAUUAUCUCAAGAGGAGCGAUGUUGAAAGCCAAGGGUAACGUGAGGCGCAAAGGUAGACCUGAAAGGUCGCAGGCCCAAUGAUCCGGCACGAACCCGAGAUGGGGGCCCGCCCUGUGACCGGUGAGACCGGGUUAAACAUGUUUGUGUGCUCCAUAAGGCUUGCGAACACUUGCAUGACACCAUGAUACGUUCCUGAGCAAGAAGGGCAGCCCGCGCAGCUGUGACGCUCCUCCAUCUUUGUCAAAGCGGCGAGCCUGUUUCUGGCCGCAUGCCAUAGUGUUUAAUUUGAACACUGAGAUAUCGUUAUGCCAUUAAAUACAAGAUUGUAACUGAGCUCGGACACUGGCUCCAGCGAACGCGUCUCGCGAAAUGCUCUACUGGCCUGGCGCCAUCUGUACGCAACUGCAGAACUAGAGUUUUUGCGUGAUAUCAGGCUCAGAACUCUAUUCUAAGAGGUGACAACAAGCGUAGAAGAAGGUCACGCUCAGGACCGCUGCGCUGCAGAACACCCUCAACAUGUCGGAACGGAGCCACACCGGUGUGAACCCUAACCCCGGCACCGCCCCGGCACCCCAGGACCUUCCACCGCCGCCCGCCGGGCAGCUGACCACGCAGCUUCACGGCUUGGCUCUAGAUCUCCAGCUGCAAUCACAGUCGCAACUGCCGCCUCCCUCACAGCAGCCUGGGGAAGGGGACGCGCCGUCCCCCAUGGACAACAUCCCCACGUCAGGUGCCCAACACCCCGGUCCCGGGCCCAGCUCAGGCGCAGCUUCCCCCACCUCCACUCACGCCGCCCGCUGCCCCUCUAGGGUAUGGAUCCCAGACAUUGUUGACCGGAUCGCAGCUUUCCUGCCGCCCAACGAGAUCCCGGCGUCUGUCCGACUGGUCAACCGCGCAACAGCCAGUCAAUUCGGGCGAGAUCGGCGCCACGUCACCCUUGUGGCGACCGAGCCAGUGCCCCCGCACGCCUUCAAGCGGCAGUGGGGGCACCCGGGGGGCGGGGCGGCGGUGCGGGCAUUGAGCCGGGGCAGCCGGCAUUUGCUGGUCACGGCCACGGCACGCACCGGCGUGUUGGAGAACCUGCAGGUAGAGCCAGGAGUCGGCUGUAGGCACCGAGAGGGGCGGGAGCUGUCUGUGGGAAGGUUCUGUAGAUGCAGUGGCAUGGGGGUUUGGGGCUCAUGCCCUAGCCACGGGGUGGGUAAGGCUUACACACACACACACGCACGCACGUACACACACACACACACGCACACGCACACGCACGCACACACACACACACACACACACACACACACACACGGGGCCGCCUGCCAUAAUUGCACAAUCACGUAGCGUACAUGCGCGCGUGCAACGCCACACGAACACUCACGCGCAGGCCUUCACAAACAGACCUUCACGCCCGCGCCGGCAUCAUCGUGUUGCCGCGCCCCGCACAGGCGCUGCUGGCCUGGGAGCAGUACUUCCCGGCCACCUGCGCGCUGAUGGCGGACGCGGCGGCGGGCGGCCACGUGGGCGUGUGCGAGUGGCUGCGGAGGGAGGCGGGCUGCCCGCUGCCCAGCCACUGCCUGCCGGACGUGGUGUGGAGGUGAGGGGCGGGGGAGGUGGGGGUUGUAAUUACCAGCCCAAACUAAACCAAACCCAACUAAGACGAGCGGGAGGGAGAGGUGGGGGCGGGGGAGGGGAGGGCGGGGACAAGGGCUCGGGGGGAUCUGCCCGUGCGGCUACAUGCAGCAUGCUCCGAAGCAGCCAUGAAGAAAUUGUGGACGAGGGCGACGGUGUGGCGGCGUUGCGGAGGAGAGGUCAGGGGUCGGAGGUGUUUACCUUACCAAACCGCUUCAGCUUCUCCGGCUGCCCGCCUUGACUGCCCCCUACCUGACUACCCUCUGGCUGCCCCCCGUACUUGACUACCCUUUGACUGCCCCCGGCCCCGACUGCCCCCGGCUCCGACUGCC